GCAAUUUAAUUCACUAAAUUUGAUUCAUGGUUAGAUAAUACUCCAAAAAUUGAAAAAUGUGGACCCUUCAAAUAAAUUAUUAAAUAUCAUUUAUUAUUAUUAUUAUUAUUAUUAAUGUGUAGGAAAAGACAUUCAAGAAUUUCCCAUUAUUAGAAAAAAAAUUGGGGAAUUUGUCACAUAAAUUCAAACCCAAUUGAAAAUUAAGACAAGAUCAUGGAAAUUAAUUAAGGAGAUGUCUGAACUCUUAUUAUUCAUAAGAAACCAGAUGGCGGCUUUCAACCUCUGCUGAGUCAGGUAGGAAAAACAACAAAUUACAUGGAAAAUACAAUUGAUUUUUCUGGAUCCAUUGAAAACCCAUGUCCGUCUUGUGCCAAACAUUAAAAAAAAAAUUAGCAGAAUGGCAUCUCUUGUUCUUCAUCUUCUUCCUCUGCAGCAUUUUCCCAGUACCCAAACAAGAUUUUUUUUUUUUUUUUUUAAUGGAGGAAAGAGUGUGAGUAGGGAAGAUAAGUAGAGAGAGCAAAGGAAGGCCUGCCUCUCAUGAUUCUGUUGAUCGCAUAGCCCAUGACCUCCACCAUCUCGCCGGCAUAUCUCAUCAGCAAUGGCCUCAGAAACACAGCCCACAGCCCCACCACCGCCAGCAAAAGCUCUGCUCCCAAGCUCAUCCUCCUCCUCUGUUGCAUUUCCUCUUUACAAUUCCUUCGCUUUCGACACACUGUUUCUCGUCUUUGUCACUGGCUGUGUGGAUCACAUUUUCUUGGGAUACGUUUGAAGUGGCAGGAAGGUGUUGGUUUUUGAAGUCCGAGGCAUCCCCAUCUUUCACUUCGCCUAGCUACCAUUCUCAACUCUCAGUCUUCACCUUCAACUAAAAAGGCAAGUGGGGGUUAGGAUUGUAAAUCGAAUCCCACAGUAGAUUCUUUGACGCCGGCCUAGCCUUUAAAACAUUUAUUAACAACAGGGGUUUGGCUACACUACCUCGAAAAAAGCACUAUCAAUCCAGCGACGACAAGGCCAUGUAUAGGAAAUUUUUAUACCCUAUUUAAUUUUUUCAAAUUUUUUUUUUACUUUUAAAUUUUAAAUUAUAUUAAAAAGUAAAUACAAUUUAUAGAUAAAUAAGUAUUAUAAUUAUUUAUGAUUUGUUUUUAUGAAAAUAAUUUUAUUAUAUAUAUAUAUAUAUAUAUAUAUAUAUAUAUAUAUAUUCAAAAAGUUAAAAAUGAGAAAAAAUAAAUUAAAAUAGUUUUUAUUAAAUAUAAAUACGAAGGGGACAAAACAUAUCUAAACCCGUCUUGAACUUGUCUUAAGUCAUCCUGUACUAAUUAAAUGGGGUCAUUUUAUAUUUUUAGAUUUUAUUAUUUAUAUUUUAGUUUAAUUUAUUUGAACCUUGUAUUUUCAUAUGAUUUAUUUGUACUUUUAUUCAAUGGGUUACAUGUCACCACUUAUCGUCGACCGUGGAAAUCUUGGGUUCGGUAGGUACAAACCACUAAGGUAACUUAGUAUUUUCCAAAUAAUAAUAAUAAUAAAUACGCAAGAAAGUGAUAGGAUUUGACGGGCAAAGGAGAUGCCAAUUUGUCGCAUCUUGAUGCCUAAUUUGGAGGCAAUGGUAUGUGUGCACAUGAAAGGAUGGUGGGAUCAGAUGAAAGAAGCCAAGCUUUAUGAUUUUGUCGCCAAAGCAAACCGAAGAAACACUACUAAUUAUUUUUGUACAUAAAAUGUUGGGAAAGAUUUGGGGUAAGUAUAUAAAAAAUGUGGUCAGAAUCCAAUACCAUGUGAAAAAUAUCAUGAAUGGUUUGUUGGCAACCAAAUGGGUUGUUGGAAGCCAGGUGGGAUAGGAUGUUAUUUCUUAGGGUAUUGAUAAAUGUGCCAUACCCUCUGUUAGAAGCUUCUUAUCAUUUAUGCCUUCAUAGGUUUUUUUUUUUUUCUUGAAAUUUUCUAGGGAAACUUUUAAUUUGAUCAUUUUUCCCAAAAACUUAAGGAAACUAUGGAUUUUUAAUGAAAUUUCAUUAAUUUAUUAGUUUUCGUUUUUUAUUGUUUUACAUUUUGUAUUUUUAAAAUUACUAAAAUAGUAAACUUCAUGCGUAGAAAAUUUCCUUCUAGAAAAUUUUCUUUAACAAAGAGUUUUUUUUCCUUUCCUAUAAAGAUAAAAAUUAAUUUCUACUAAAUUUGUGAAUAUGUAGUUGCUUUCGUUUGUCAAUUAUAAUAUAUAUUAGGGUUAUAACUUGGGUGGAUUGGUUGGGUUAAUGACUAAUCCGAACUCAACCCAAAUUAAGAGAUAAUUAACUUGAGCCCAAUCCAAUUUAACCUUUAAUAAAAAAUACUCAAUUCAUUCCUAAUUGCACCUUACUUUUCUAACCUCAAGUUAAAUUUAGAUUGAUCAAAUUAAAUUUAAGUUAGUCGAAUUAAAUUCAGAUUGGUUGAGUUACAUAAUUCAAAAUUUAUCCAUAAUAGUUUUUAAAAAACAUUAUAUAUAUAUAUAUACCAAAAGUCAAAUAGUAACUAAGAUAAAACUUCAACAUCAUAAUAAUAAUAAUAAUUAUAAUAAAAAGUAUUAUAUAUUAAGAAUUUGAUUUUUUUAAAUUAAAAAAAAUAAAUAUUAUUAUACAGAAUAAUAAAUAUUAUAACUAUCAUAAAAAUAUUAAAUUGAGUUUGGAUUAAGCUUGAGUUGUUCAAAUCUUAACCCAAGCUUAAGCCAAAUUGAAUUCGGGUUAAAAAAAAUUUAAUCCAAACUUAAAUUAAGUAUUAAAAAUAUUUGUUCAAACCUAUCCAAACAUCGGAUUAGAUCAAACGAAUGGAAGCUGCACUCCUAAUAUGUAUAAUUGAGUCAUUUCGUCUUUAUUAAAUUAUUAUAACUAGUAUAUAAAUCUGUGUGAUAUUUAUUAUUAAAUUAAACUCCUUUUUCAUAUUUCAUCGUAGCCUAAGAUGGCCCCCAUAUCAAAUUUAUGGUGUGGCCUCCUCCAGCAUCCCAAUCAAUUCACCAAAUUGGGUCUUUGAAGAGUCAAUUGGGUCUUUGGAGAGUCAACACAACUCCCACUUGCUCCAAAAAUUUGAAAAAUAAAAUAAAAUUAUAUACACUUUAAUAAAUCCCCAUUCGCAUUGGGAAAAAACUUCUUGUACGGACUUAUCUUACGUUUUAAGGGCGUGAGCCCAAAUCAAACAAUUGGGUCAUUUUCCUAUCUAAGAGAAUGAAACAUUUUUCUAGCUAGAUAGCAACAGAACCGCAGAAAUACCAUAUGCCAAUGCCUUAGAAGGAAAGAACAAGAUGCAUUGAGAAUUUGAGAUAGAAUUACAUUUCAGGUUUCUGGGUGUUCAGUCUAGAAAGUAUGCAUCUUUGAUUUUGAAUGAGCCUGGAUUAGCAUCCUCUACAUGGUUGUGGCCACUGUUGGUUAAAAAAUUUGCAUACCAUCUUGCAGAAAGCUUGGGAGUUCGCCUAAGAGUCUGACGAUCCACAUAGUAAAGUCCGAAUCUGGUGUUGUAACCAUACACCCACUCGAAGUUGUCCAUCAAGCUCCAUAUAAAAUAGCCUCGGACAUCAGCACCAUUCCUGAAUUUUUAGCGAAAAGAUAUCAAUAUAAAUGAAUGUUUUCAUAAUCGGAUGGAUCAUUGAAUUGAAAAAAUUAUCGGUUUAUGAUUUAAUGGUCGAAUUGAUGGUUGAUAGAGAUGACAAUGGGGUGAAUUUAUUCGGAAACCAGUCUACCCCGCCCCUAAUCAAAUAGGUUUGAAAUUUAAAUAAACGAGUUUAGAACAUGUUUAAGAUUUUUUUUAAAUCCGUGAUAGGUUCAGGGUGGGUUUGGGUAUUACCUUGUCCUACCCUGUCUCGUCCUCUUCCCUUGAUUAUAUGCAAAAUUAAUUUAAUUUAAUUUUUAUUUUCCUAUUAUUAUAUUUUAAUAAAAUAAAAUUAUAAUAUUUUAAUUAUUUAUAAAAUAUAUUUAUUUUAAUGUAAUUAAAAAAAAAGUUAAACGAGAUGAAACGGGAUGGGCAUAGAAAAUUUGUAUACCCACCCCACCUCGCCCAUUUAAUAUAUAGGAAUGAAAAUUAUUUUAAAUAAAUGGGAGGGGGUUGGGAUGAGAGUGAUCCGUCCCGAACCCAUUCCAUUGCCAUUCUUCUUAAGUCACGGUCUAAUCAUUAAUGUCAUAAAUAUAUAAGGGAGAAUUAUCUUUUGGGGGUAGAUGGACCCCCAAAUUAAUAAAAGAUUCAUGUAACUCUUCAAAUUGAGUUGAAGGAUAUGAAAUAGUAAUGGACAAAUAUACCCUUUAAGAAUAUAUAUAAAAUAUUUUAUAAAAUUAAGUUAAAUAAUUUUUUUUCAAUAAUUUUUUUUUCAAAAAUACUAAAUUAAAUAAAAGUAGUUUUCAAAAAUAUUAAAUUAAAUAUUUUUUAAAAUAUUAAAUUAAAUUAUUUUUUUUUCAAAAAUAUUAAAUUAAUUUUUUUUUCAAAAAUAUUACAUUAAAUUAAAGUAUUUAAAAAAAAUUAAUUUAAAUAUUUUUUAAAAUAUUAAAUUAAAUAAAAUUAUUUAAAAAAAUAUUAAAUUAAAUAAUUUUAUUUUAAAAAAUAUUAAAUUACAUAAAAGUAUUUUUUAAAAAUAUUAACUUAAAUAAAAGUAUUUUUCAAAAAUAUUAAUUUUUUUCUUAAAAUCAACGAAAGACAUUUUUGAAAAUACUGAAGGAUGAUAUCCUUCAACUCAAUUUCCAUACUUUCAUUGGGUUUUGGGCUCAAUUUGAAGAGUUACAUGGACAUUUUGUUAAUUUGGGGGCCCAUCUACCCCAAAACAUAAUUCUCCCAAUAUAUAAUUUAUAAUUUAUUAAAUUCAAAAUCAUUAAAAUUUAAAAUAAUUUUAAAAAAUAAAAAAUAUAUAAUUAAAAAUUAAUCAUAUUUAUAAUAUUAUUUAUUCAUUUUUAUAUAAACAUAUUCAUAUUUUAAAUUUUAUUAAACAAAACAUGUACUAUAUUUAAAUAUGAAAAUAUAUUAAAAAUGAAAGAAAACUUGUAUUAUGUAAUUAUAUAUAUAUAUAACAUAUAUAGUUUGUUUUUAUAAUUUUUAACACAAACGAAAAGGUAGCAGAGUGGUGCAACUAUUUUUCCUUGAACCUGCCUGCCGUGUGUGGUUCAAAUGGCUGCUGGGCUGUGAGGUGUAGGGCAUGAGCAAUGGCCCAUUUUGCAACCAAAGGGGGCAUUGAACGUUGAACCGUUCGGUUCUUGAAGGACCGUCCGUACCACCCAAUUCACACAUCCAACUGCUUGAACGCGGUUUAAGACCAGUCCAAUGGAUAAACAAUUCAAGAUGAGAAAUCGGGUUGAAAAGGCCAUCGGUCCGCAGUUGAACCUGCCAGUCUGGUCCAAUUUUCAAAAUAUUGAUGUAAACCAUUAUAAUAUAUACUGAAGUGGGUUUUCUUAGAAUUUGUUUCAUGGUAUUUUUAUGUGUUUUUAAAUAAGAGUAUAUUCAAGAGAAUCACCUAUCAAAUAUUUGUUCAAAAGAUAUUAUUGGUAAUUUUUUACUUUGUUAAAAGUGUAUUUUAAACUUUGUAAAACGAUUAGGCCAUCGAUCGGCAGUUGAACCACCCUGAUCCAAAUUUCAAAAUAUUGAUAUAAAUCAUUAUAACAUAUGCUGAAGUGAAUUUUCUUAGAAUUUGUUUAAUGGUGUUUUUAGAUAAGUGUAUAUUUAAGAGAAUCAACUAUCAAGGAUUUACUCAAAAAAUAUUAUAAGUAAUUUUUAAAUUUUUUAAAAGUGUUUUUUAAACUUUGUAAAAUGAUUAGGUCAUCAAUCGACAGUUGAACCAGUUAGUCUGGUUCAAAUUUCAAAAUAUUGAUAUAAACCAUUAUAACAUAUGUUGAAGUGGGUUUUCUUAAAAUUUGUUCUAUAGUAUUUUAUGUAUUUUAGAUAAGAGUAUAUUUAAGAGAAUCAACUAUCAAGUAUUUGUUCAAAAAAUAUUAUUGGUAAUUUUUUACUUUUUUAAAAGUGUUUUUUAAACUUUGUACAACGAUUAGGCCAUCGAUCCGCGGUUGAACCAACCAAUCUUGUCCAAAUUUCAAAAUAUUGAUAUAAACCAUUAUAAUAUAUGUUAAAGUAGGUUUUCUUAGAAUUUGUUUUAUAGUAUUUUUAUGUUUUUUUUAGAUAAUAGUAUAUUUAAGAGAAUCAACUAUCAAGUAUUUGUUCAAAAAAUAUUUUAAGUAAUUUUUAAUUUUUUUAAAAGUGUUUUUUAAACUUUGUAAAACGAUUAGGUCAUCGGUCGACGGUUAAACCAGCCUAGUCCAAAUUUCAAAAUAUUGAUAUAAACUAUUAUAACAUAUGCUGGAAUGUGUUUUCUUAGAAUUUGUUUAUAGUAUUUUUAUGUGUUUUAGAUAAGAGUAUAUUUAAGAGAAUCAACUAUCAAGUAUUUAUUUAAAAAAUAUUAUAAGUAAUUUUUUUAUUUUUUAAAAUUUUAUAAAAAGUCUAAUAUUCAAAAACGUUUUUUAUUCUAAAAACACUGUGAAACGAACUCUCAAUUUCUAAUCUGGGCACACAGAAGGAUUAUUCUAACAAAUUUGAUAGCUAUAGAGGAUAUGAUUUGCUGACCUUAUAGCCCGGGCCAAAGCAGCAAGGUAGGCUUUAUGGAACUCAAUUCGCUUGGCAUCUUGUACCAAGUCUUCUUCUUGUUCAUCUUCUUUCUCUGGUGGAGAAUAUCCUACAUAUAUUAUGUUGAAAACCCACAAAUUUUUUGGGUCAAAAGCAUAAUCAUAAUAAUAAUAAUUUAUGAAAUAUGCCAUCAAACUGUCUUGUCGAACUCUUACAUAGUCAAUACCGUUUGGGAGUGACUUUGAAAGGACUGAAAGUACUUUCUUACACAAACUAAAUAUUUAACAAAUUUUUUAAAAUCACUUCUAAAAAUCUAGAGAAGCAUUUAAAGUGAUUCAAAGUGUCAAAACGUUGCUUACACUUCACAAACUUUAUUUCAAGUUGGUUGAACUAGUAACUCAGAAAUCAUUAAUUCACUUGAGAGAGAUAAGAAAGCUGUGAAUCCACUCACCAUUUUCAGUCACAAACAUGGGCAUGUUGUUGUAUCUUUCUUUAACAUACUCGAUGAUCUUUUCCAUCCCUCUGGGAACUAUAAAGAAUCUCCUCAUCCCCGUCUGUUACAAACAAAUUAAGAAAAAUUAAUAUCAACUAAUCAAAGAAAGAAGAGGAAACAAAAAAAGAGCUGAUGGUUAUUCAACAACUAGGCCACCAUUAUAAUUGCAUUACUACGUACACGUUCACCAAUUGGCACACCAUGUCGCUCUCCUGUAAGAUACACAAAGCCUUGAAUUGCCCGGUCUCCAUCGGAGCUGCAAGUAGAAUGGAUGCAGUCCUUGGCAUACAGAGUUGUGUAAUGGUUAAUGCCGAUGAAGUCCAGACUUUGUGUUAACAACUUUGUUUCCUCUGAAGUAAACCUUGGUAGCUCAUUCCCAUGAUAUUGGCGCAUUUCAGGAGGGUAAUCUCCAAACACCAGGGGAUCUAACAUCCUGUUCAACAGAAAUUUAAACUUAGAUAACAACAUCCCAAAACAAUCCAUUCAAAACACCCUUUGAUUUGAUUCUUUUUUCUUUCUUUUUCAAAGAAUAUAUGUCCAAUUCUCUAGGGAAGAAAUGACCCAUUUUCUAACCCUGAAGGGCCAAAACCAUGGCCAUUCAACCUUUACGUUUUCUUUUAUUUUAGUGCAGUGAUGACUUCAUGCAAAAUGGUAACUUAGCACAAAAGUUUUAAAAACUUCUGACUUUCUCCUAAUUCAUUUUUCAGGGAGACCGAGUUACUAUUUUCAAAAGUAAGUAGAGCCUUAAAUUUUCCAGUAAUGAGCAUGUUAAAUACUUACCCGGCCGUAUAGAAAGCCAAUGCCCUCUUUGCAGCUUUACAGUCAAGCUCUAUAUCCUUCAAUGGUUCAUACAUGAAUGUAUUUGCAAUCAUCCCUAUAAACCUGUCUUUUUUUUCAAUACCUCAAUUUUAUUUUAUUUUACAGUUUUUACGACCAUUCCCUUUUCAAUAUAAACAUUUAAAAGCUCUGACAUCUUAUAUAAAAGUCAGUGUUAUUUUCCGAUUUUAAAAAUAGGAAACAUAUCCAAAUGAACACUACGUUAUUUGAAAACAUUUUAUUUCAAUUCUAAAUUCAAAAACCAUAAGAGAAUCCUUAAAUAUUCAAGUGAUGAGCAUGUUAAAUACUUACCAGGCUAUAUAAAAUGCCAACGCCCUCUUUGCAGCUUCACGGUCAAGCUCGAUAUCCCUCAAUGGUUCACACAUUAAUGUAUUUGCAAUGAUCCCAAUAAACCCACCUUGCUUUAACUGCAAAACAAUGUUAUAUAAUUUUUUAGUAUGAUUAUAAAAGUAAUGCUACGAGCUUGAUUUAAGAAUAUAACAUAAGGCCUUUUUAUUCGAGUACCUGAUAUUUAUGGCGGUAGAUGUUAGCAGCCUUGGCAUGGGAGAGUAACAUGUUGUGCAACACAAAGAGAGGCUCUGUAUCAGAGUUGCCGCUGCUGCAAUUGCCAAAAGGGGCUGAACAAUGUGCUGGUGGGUAUCUCCCCCACAAAUAGGCCAUUUCUGCUAAUAGGUUUGGCUCGUUUAUUGUUGUCCAGUACUUCACUCUAUCUCCGAAAUUCUCAAAACAUGUUUCAGCAAAAUGGACAAACUCUUCCCUACAAAAGCAUCCACCAUUGAUGCUCUGACCAUUAAAAUAUUGGCUAAAGUAAUGUUGGACUAACAAUGUAGUCCAACCCUAACAUUCCAUCUCACAGGCAACCCUUUUCGGGUUUACAAGUGGGCUCAACAAAUGAGAGAGAUAACUAAGGUUCAAACUUAUGACCUCCCAUGAAUACAUAGCAUAAAAACUACGUCAAAAGCAAACCAAAAUUCCCUAAAAUUUGAAAAACUUUGAAUCACAUAUUUGUUAGUAUAAAUUCUUCAUGAAAUUAGAACUAGUCUUAAACUGACCAAUUAGUAGCCUCAUAUGCUUAAGAUUUUGGGGUAACUAAAGAACAGUAUCAAGCUAAAACUCCUCAAAAGCCCCAAAUGCUGAAGACUGAAAUGCAUGAAAGAAGUAAUGAGAAUUGGAGAUUACUGCAUAAGAGGACUUAGCCAAGCCCCGAAUCUUUCCUCAAGCUCUUGCGGGUGAUCAUGAUGGUAUAUUGUCACAUAUGGCUCAAUACCUGAAUUAGAGGCCUCUUAAGUUCAAUAACUACUAAUAGAGAUUAAAGAAGAUCAAGAGAGAUGUGAAGCCAAAAUUUUUGGAGAAAGGGAAAAAGGUCAUACCCUUUAGCAGGAGAUUGUCUAUAAUUUUGCUGUAGAACAUCACACCUUUUGGAUUAACUUCGCCAAGCCUUCCUCCUGUUAGCACAAGGAAGAUCAUUAAUUACCCAAAUGAUUGACAAAUAGCCAAUGUACAGUAUCUGAACAGGUAUUUGAAGGACAUACUAGGCAGAACCCUGGACCAGGAAAUUGAAAACCUGUAUGCAUUUACUCCUAAUGAAUGUAUUAUCUCAAUGUCCUCCUGAACAAAUCAAAAAACAUUGAGCCUAUUCUCUUAUCUUUUAGAAAUUUAAAGGAAUUCAGCUGAAAUGAGUAAAAUGAAUGUCAGAUUAGUACCAAGAAUUGAUGGUAAUGAUCGUCUGCAAUGUCUCCAGUAUCUCCAUUUUUUAUGCCUCCUGAUGAUCAAAAUGGUGAACAUCCAUGCAAAUUAUCAUUAAUUUCAAGUGGGUUUUUCCUUCUUUUUUUUUGGGUUAUUGAGAAGUUACAGAAAUUUAAGGAUGAAGCAAGGGUCAAUACUCAAUAGCUACCUGGAAUAUGACAGAAGACAUCCCAGUUGUUGGGACUCUUUCCAUCUUCAAGAACUGCUCCUUCAAUCUGCAACCUUGCAGAAAAAAAACCCAUGUAAUUAAAAAAAAGAAUCAAUUCAGCAAAGGUGGGAGAAAAGGAGGAUAUGCCUGGUAUGAUGAAGUGGCUGCUCCAAAGAGAAACCCAGAUGGGAACUGAGAUCUUUCAACUUCUUCUUCUUCACUGGACCUUUGCUCAGCAAAUGAAUGAACAAGGGAAAGUAGGAGAAGCAAGAAGAUUUGAGUGACAGUCACUUUCAUUUUUGGCCUCUAAACUUGUGAUCAAGCACAACUUCCAAGCAUUUUGGUGGUGGGUUUGUAUAUUUUUAUUUGGUAAUGUGAGGAAAAAAGGUAAGCACAGUGGGGCACAGAGGUAAUACAGUAUAUUAUCAUGAUUUGGUGUGUGGUCUGUCUCUCAGACCCCAAAUUGCGUGGAAUCUUUGCAAAAGACUCUGAGCAAUUCAAAGUGGGGUUUGGUCAUUUUCAGUCCAAUUUUUCUAAGAACAAGUUGAAGUAAAAAAACAAUAAGUGAAAUAGAUUGUGGAUCUUGAAUUCCAUCAGUGAUUUUAUUUGUUUUUUCCUUUAUAAAUUCAUGAUGCAUUUGUCUAUUCAAGCACUAGGGCCAUCAGAUCUGUUUGCCUGAUCUCUUCUUUGUACCUAAGAUAUUAAAGGGACAAUAAUGACGAACAGGAUAAUCAUAAAGAAACCAUCUAGAAACCAACCUCAAGACAAAAUAUUAUUUUGUCCUCAAUAUUUGAAACAAUUAUAUUUGUUUUCCUCAAGAUCUGUGAACCCAGUUAUAAAACAAGAUAAACUUUCUAUGUAGUUGGUUGAUGUUAGUAAGAAACUCUUUUUCUAUGAUAUAUGUUAAAAUGAUUGCCUUCAAAUAAGGAUUCAUUAUUGGUAAAUUAGGGGGGGGGGGGGGGGGGGGGAAAAAAAAACCCAAAAGGGCAAAAAAAAAAAUUUUUUUAGGCCCCUUGGGGGGGUUUUAAAAAAGGGGCCCCGCCCCUGAAAAAAAAUUUUUUCCAAAAAAAUAGGGAGGGGAAACGGGAAAAGGGCCCUCCUUUUUUUUAAACCCCGGGGGAACCCCACUGGUUUUUCAAAUUUUGGAAAAAAAAANNNNNNNNNNNNNNNNNNNNNNNNNNNNNNNNNNNNNNNNNNNNNNNNNNNNNNNNNNNNNNNNNNNNNNNNNNNNNNNNNNNNNNNNNNNNNNNNNNNNGGAUAAUCAUAAAGAACCCUCUUAGAACCCACCCUCAAGACAAAAUAUUUUUUUGUCCCCAAUAUUUGAAACAAUUAUUUUUUUUUUCCCCAAGAUCGUGGAACCCAGUUAAAAACAAAAAAAACCUUUCUUUGUGUUGGGUUGGGUUUAGUAAAAAACUUUUUUUUUAGAAAAUAUGUAAAAAGAUUUGCCUAAAAAAAAGGUUUUUUUUUUGGAAAAUGGGGGGGGGGGGGGGGGGGGGGAAUAAUGAAGCCAAACGGGCAAAGAGAAUAAUUUGAUUAGGCCACUUGGAUGGCUUUCAUAAUAGUGUCACUGCCCUUGAAACAACAGUUUUACAGAGAAAAUGAUGAAGGCAAACUGCAAAAGUGCUCUACAUUAUUUACAAUCCCAGGGUACACCUCAAUGUUACUACAAAUUUGGUAAAAAGAAUGGUACAUUUCUGCUUUGAAGGUAGUCCAGAAACAGAGAAGACUUCAAAUAACACCAUUCAAUUCAAAUUCAAAUUCAUUUGAGUUAUUUCAACAUUUUUCUUUUCUUGUGCCUUGCCCUUCAAAGAUGCAAAUCUCAAUAAAAAUACACCUGCAAGCUCUUGGUAGCAGAGUAUAAUUGGUGCAAAACUUGGAAAAGAUGGUGAGAAGGAUGCAAGUGAAGCCAUAUCAUUGAAAUCACAUCAGCAUAUAAACAAGAAACAUCUACAAAAUUGGCUUAUCAUCAUCAAACUAAAAAAGGGAAUUCAAAAAGAACUGCCAUUAUGAAAGAUGAACUACUUAUGUUUCUAGGAAAUUCAGAGUUCUGAAUCUAAGUUUCAGGAUGACGAGGAGGUCCUAGGAGAGUUCAUCAGCAAGUUCCCCAGGCCCCUCUCAUACAGCAGCAGCAUAGCAAUUGAUCUGGUAAUAGAUCAUGCACCUCCAUUCUUCCAAAUACAAGUCAGCCAUUGCUGAUAACAUACUUCCAGAACAACUCCAUAGAACCUGGUUUUCGAGGCAAUUUUACCCUUUCCAUUCAGCAGACCAUAUAACCUGUCAGGCUGUCUAUACUCAACUCAUCAAAUUCUCACCUAGUAUUUAUUCAAGACCAAAAUUUCUAUACUAGAAUUGGUUUAUCCCAAAGAAAGAGAUGUUAUAGGACCUCAAAGCUUCAGAAUUCUCCUACUUAUGAAUUUCUGGACUAUGUAAAUCUUAUUGAAAUCAUGCUUUUGUAUUCUCUGUUUCUUAUGUGUUCCACCAGCUAGAAUGAGCAGGAUAAAUUUUCUCUGCACUUUGAUCAUUAUGGCAAGUUUUUUACAAAAUUCUUAAAUUAGGGAGAAUUUAUACAGAAUGGAGAUGUAUGGCAUUUCUAAACCAUGUGUAGAAUGUCUUACAGCAUAUUAUAUUUCCAUCUUUCCAGCCUUCAAUGAAAUUACAGCACUGUUCAUGGGAGAUCUUCUAAUGAUCCCAUUCCUAUUUCUUUGGCUAUUGUAACUGAGGAAACUUGUAUACCAUUUUGAAGAAAACUUGGGAAUCCGGCAGAGCGUUUUGUAGUCAACAUAGUAAAGCCCAAACCUUAUACUGUAACCAUUAGUCCAUUCAAAGUUGUCCAGCAAACUCCAAACAAAAUAGCCUCGUACAUCUGCUCCUUUCCUGUAGACCAAAAGAAAUGAUAUAUUCAUUUCAUCUUUAAAAAUCUACUUAAAUUGUGUUCAGUGGAUAACUGUGCUUGUAAAAUGAAAGUUAGCAAAACUUUUCAAGUUGCUAGCUUGAAAGAUCAGUUCUUCACUCACCGAAUUGCCUGAGCUAAGGAGGCAAGAUAGCCCUUGUGAUAUUCAACUCUUUUGGUAUCAUUCAAUAACACUCUGUUUCUUUCUUCAGGUUGGUCCAUUUGAGAUAGCCCUAAAACACCAAUUGUAAACAAUUUUUCAUAUCCUCGUUGACAUUGUUAACCUUCUUAUUCUUUCCAAGUUUUGCACAUAAUUUCCAUUAUGAUAUAUUUACCAUUUUCAGUGACAAAUAUAGGCUUGUUGUUGUAUCUUGUCUUCAGAUAAUCAAUGAGUUUCUCUAGUCCGCUUGGAACAACAUAAAACCUUGGUAUUGCUGUCUAACAGAGGGCAAAAAAUAUAAAUCCAUCAACAUAAAGUGAAAACAGAAACAUGAAGCCAAUAAUAAAAACUAAUAGACCAGUUCAUAAGUAAGAUACCUCCUCCCCAAUUGGAACCCCAUCUCUUUCUCCAGUCGUGUAAACAAAGCCUUUGAUUGCCUGGCACCCUAGCUUGCUAGGAGAAUAGCUGCAGUUUUCAGCAUAUAGACUUGAAUAAUGGUUAAUGCCAAUGAAGUCGAUACUCCCUUUUAUUUUCUUCAGUUCAUCAGGUGAGAACUUUGGCAUGUUCUCCCCAAGCAAACGAUACAUCUCAGGAGGGUAAUCUCCAUUUAGAAGGGGAUCCAACACCCUAUUCAUUACAAAAACAAUCAAAUCAGUUCAAUGAGGAUAACACCAAUACAUAUGAAAGAAAGCCUAAUUUUUUAUUCAUCUUGUUCAGAUUGGUUCUCUAAGUCAAUUACAUGUUAAAAUGUCACAGUGGGAAAGGAGAAAUCAUUGGAAUGGGGUUUACCAUCUUUUUAGUAACCAUAUUAAUAAGAAUUGCCACUUACCAGGCAAUAUUGAAGGCCAAGGCCCUACUUGCAGCUUCACGGUCACAUUCUUGGUCACUUAUGGGUUCAUACAUGAAUGCAUGCACAACCACCCCUAUACUACCACCUUGCUUGAGCUGCAGACACAUCAACAAUAUUCAAUCAAAAACAGAGAAUGACAGUCAAUAUUGGAUUUUUGUAACAUGGGAACACAAAAGUAGGAGUAAACAACAACCACCCCUAUACUACCACCUUGCUUAAGCUGCAGACACAUUAACAAUAUUCAAUCAACAAAAACAGAGAAUGACAGUCAAUAUUGGAUUUUUGUAACACAGGAAAACAAAAGUAGGAGUAAACAACAAAAAAAAAAGGUCAAACUGAAAAGCCCUGCUUUCUAGCUGGAUUCCUUAAUGAUAAUUUGUUUACAGACUGAAAUAUGGACAGGCCAGGAAAGAUGAGUUCUGAUAUUUACAUAUCAUAACUGUAAAUUGAAACCCUAGGAAUCUCAACCUCCUGCCUCCAUUCAGUGCUUGUUAUUUUGUAUAUUUUUCCCACUGCAAGAAUCAAAAGAUGUGGCAUUUCCUGGCAUGCAAAUCACCCUGGACAUCAGCAGCAGGAGUUAUAAUCACAUCUUCUCAGGGCUUGGUGACAACAAUCCCUGAAUCCUUGAAGUAGUAGGAAGCAUUAUCUGAACGUUGAAAUAAACUUUCAAGACAAGCAUUUGGGGUUUGAUAGUCCCUUCAGGAAAAGUUUGAAAAGCAUGACAUUCUAGCACAUAGAAAGAGUUUAGCUAGUACCUGAUAACGCUCACGAUAAAUAUAAGCAGCCUUGGCAUGUGAUAUUAACAUGUUGUGCACCACCAAUAAGGGCUCCCUUUCGGAAUUUCCAGCAGAACAGUUGUGGUAAGGUUCUAAACAAUGACCUGGAGGAUAAACACCCCUAAUGUACCCCAUGUCUGCAUAUAUGUUUGGCUCAUUGAAAGUAGUCCAGUACUUUACCCGGUCACCAUAAUUCUCAAAACAAGUUUUGGCAAAAAGAACAAAAUCAUCCCUACAAGAGAAUCACAUCCAAAAAAUUUUACUGACAUUGCCACUCCAAGAAAUAUGUAGAGAAAAGGAUCACACUUACUGUACUAAAGGACUGAGGAAACCCCCAUAUCCGUGCUCGAGUUCCUGUGGUAUGUCAUGAUGGCUUAUGGUAACAAAUGGCUCGAUUCCUGUACCAUUAGCCUUCAACAUUUUGAGUUAUAGGGGUACAAUGGUGUGGAUGUGUGCAAGAAGAAGAGGAAGGAUUCAAAAUUUAGUCUUGUAAGAACUUACCCUUGAGCAAGAGACAAUCUAUAAUUUUGUUAUAAAACUCAACUCCUGCUGGAUUAAUCGAACCAAAUCUUCCUCCUGUUAUUACUCUACUAUAUUAAUAAGAAGAAACAGAGAAUAAUAAAAUUCAAAUUGUUUGGCUGAUAAUUUAAAGACUUACUAGGUAAGACCCUGGCCCAAGAAAUGGAAAACCGGUAGGCAUUCACCCCGAGAGAAUGCAUUAGCUCAAUGUCUUCCUGUGUAAAUUUAAACAGGAAAAAAAAAGGUUGUUUGUUACAAAUUAUUUAGAAGAUUGGAGUUCGGCAAAGGAUUUAAAACCCCUCAUAGGAACGAUUUCAGUAAAAGAAAAUUCAAGAACUUAGUUUUCUAUCGAUAUAUAAUAUUUGAUCUAUUAGUUUGUUUUUUAAUACAUGAGAAUUAAGGAGGAUCUUAAUUAGACAUUGAUAAAUUUCUAAUUAACACUAGAAAUAUAAAAGAAUAGUGGAAGGCUAAUACCAAGUAACGAUGGUAAUGAUCAACAGCGACAUCACCGUUCUCUCCUCUUUCAAUUUUUCCUGGAUAAGUGUCAUGGCAGAAAAUGGUAAAACUUACAGCAUUCCAUACUCAAACCAUAGCUAGUAAAAUCAAUUUAAAUUCUAGAAAAAACAAGUCAAUACUGUUUGAAUUUUGAGGAGCCCCUCUGGCAUGACCAUGAACAUGUCUAAUUUGUAAUGAAUUUUAGAAUAGAGAUAAGUCUCUUCCUGGACAUGUACUCAUUUUUCUUUUUUCUUUUUUCCUCUUUACAUUUCUUCUUCUUCUUCCUCUUUUUUUUUUUUUUUUUUGCCUUUUAAUAAAAAUAGGAGAAUCCUAAACCCAGAUGAAAGGGCAUUCCUAAGCAUCAAGAUUUUCAUCAUCUUAGGCAUAUGGCACUCUUCAGUCUUCAGUUUUCCUUUCAACUCAAGAUGCCGAGAAAUUUGGAUUGGUGACUCCACUCGCAUCAAAUUGCUUAAGAUAACAACAUUUUGGCCAGUUUCUAGAACUGUUAAAUACCCAAAGAAAAAGAAAAUCAAAAUAAAACCAGUCCCUUCUUUCCAAAAAGUUGGAUUGAAUGAUCAAAUUCGGUGUUAAUUAAGAAAAACAUGGAUCUGGGGUGGAUCAAAAUGAGUUGAGACCAAGAAAUUAACGAACAGAAUUAAAGCUUCAGUAGCAAGCAGACUAACUGAGAUUCUUCCCUACCUGGAAUGUGGCUGAAAACAUCCCAGUUGCUCAGAGUCUUCCCAUCUUCCAAAAAUGCUCCUUCAAUCUACACAACAAACCAUAUUGAUAAAUAUAUACAUAUAUAUAACAGAAAAAGAAAAAUAAAAAGAUAAAAAAGAAGAACAGAAAUAAAAAUAAAAAGAGAACAUGCUUGCCUGGUAUGCAGAAGUAGCAGUUCCAAACAAGAACCCAUCUGGGAAUUCAGCUCUGCUGAUUUCCUCAGCACAACACAGAAACACAAGCAAAGAUGGCAAGUUAGUGAGGAAAAAUAUCUGAAUUUGAUUAUUAAUUUCCAUAUACAGAGACAAUGUGGGAGAAAGGGUAAGGGUUGGAUUAUUGGAUUGGUUUACACUUGAAGAUAAUUGAGGACCCAAACAAUUAUUUUGUUCGUUUGGGUUUUUUUUUUUUUUUUUUUUGUCUUAUUUAGUAUUAAAUGUAAAAUGUGACAUGAAGUUGAUAUUUUAUUUUAGCGCCACCAAAGUAGGUAGGCCUUGUUUAUUUGGGUUUUUUUUUUUUAACUUCUUUCAGCCAAUUAUGAAAAAAAAAACUUUAAAAAUUUGAAAAAAAAAAUUAUGUUAAUGGUGUGUCUUGAAAAACACAUUUUACAAUUUUAUAACCUUAAAUUUAUGUUACCAUCUCACAAAAUUAAAUUUAUACUAAAAAUAUCUCGUGUUUUUUUGAAGAAAUCUUCGACAAUUUUCAUACCAACCAUAAAAAAUAUUGAAUUUAUACACAUUUCACAAGAGUAAAUUUAUAUUAAGGUGCCUCUUCAAAAGAUAACUUUCAACAUAACAUAAAUUAUUGUAUAAUUAAAAAUAUUUUUGAAUAGAUUGUAUUUUAAAAAAUUAAUUUCAAAUUGAUAGUACUUUUAUAAAAAAAAAUUUAUUUGUCCAUAUCAAAGAUACCAAGAUAAGCCAUAUAUUCAUAUUAGUAAUUAAAAUUAUAUAUUAUUUUCUUUAUGAUUAUAUUAUAUAUUAAUCAUUUGCAUGGCUCUUGGCUCAUAUUAGCAUUAGAUAGGGGUGUAAUUUGGGUGGCUGACCCAUCUCAACUCGAACCCAAUCUGACAUUUGGUUGGAUUUUGACAUUUAUUUUCAAUAUUUGGGUUGAGUUUGAGUUAAAUUUUUUUAACUUAAACUCAAUUUAAGUUCGAUUUAAGUCAAGGUUUAGGGGAUGAUUUAAUGUAUAAUAUUUAUAAUGUAUACUACCUUAUAUAACAAUAUUCAUUUUCAUUUUAGAUUUUUAUGGAAAAAAUAUGAAUAUAAUAUAAUUUUUCAUUAUUUUAAAAAGAUAUAUAUUUUUUUUUUGUUAUCUUCAAUUUUUUUUCCUAUUUACUAUUUAAAAUUUUAUAUAAAUAUAUAGAAAUUUAGUUUUUAAAAAAACAUUAUAGAUAGAUUUUAAAUUAUAUAACUCAAUGACUUGAGCCUAAAUUGACUAAUCCGAACUCAAUCCAAACUUAGAGAAAUGAAGUGAAGUUGAACUUGGGUUGAGUACUUCAAGUUGGAUUGGACUUUGGUUAAUUGUUUUCCAAUUCAGGAUGAGUUUGGGUUAGUUAUCAAUUCAAUCAACCUAUUUGGCUUGCAGUAUUAGUAUUAGAUAAUACAUAUAAAUAUACUAAUUUAAAAGCUUCAAAAAUUCUAAACAAAAUAUGCAAAUUAUUAAAAAAAUAGAUAUAACUAGAUAAACUAAAAAAAUUAAUAUAAUAAUUUUUUUUCUCAUAUGUAACAUUGUUUAAAUUGUGAUGAAAGUAUGAUCCUCGAUAAUAUUGGAAUUUAAAACCCUUUUUAUUAAUUACUUCAUGCUAGAAUUGAUCAAUUAUAAAUAAAAAUUCACUUUGUUAUGUUAUUUGAGAGUGAGAGUUGAGUCUUCGAAUUGUGUUUUGUCGGUUGAUUUCAAUCAUUUUUGUUGAGUGGUUUUAAUGGUUUACUUUUAUUAUUAAAAAAAAAACUAAUAUUUUGGUUUUUUCUAUUCAACCAAAAAAUUUUAAAAGUAAACAAAAGUGAAAAAGAAAAUCUAAAAUCUAAAAGUAAGCUGCUUUUGGAAAAAAAAAAAAAAAAAAACAAAUAGUGUUGGGGUGGUGGUUGGGGAGGACUAGCAAAACUAAGGUGGUGUUCGUUUUUUUGGCUUUUUGCUGAAAACUAUUUAGUUUUAAAAUUUAGGUUGUUUGUUUUUUUACUUUUUCAUGACUUAUUAUAAACUUUUUACUAAAUAGAAAAAGCCAGAAUAUGUGACUUUUUCUAAAUAAAAAAAAUAACACAAUGAUUUUUUUUACUUUUUAAUACUUAAUAGAAAUAAAAUACUACAAAAACAAACACCACCUAAAUGUUAAAUAGAGUUUUGGGUCAACCAAUCAACCUUAGGAUUAAAUUGGUUACUAGUCAUCGAGGAACUAAUACACUAACAAGUGACCACUAAAUCUUAAAAGCUCAUUUGAUCCAGCAACCAAUUCGAAGGAUUAUCCAAACGAAACUAACUAAACCUUAGUUUCAGACUCAAACCUACGGAAUCAAAGGGUUGAUAUAGGAGUCUUACGUGAGAAGUUUAUCCAAUAAUAUAGAUGACUCGCGUGAGUGGUAGGCAGAUGGUGUGGAAGUCUUGGGUACAAGUAAAGGAGGAGCUAGUAUGCAUGGUUGCAUCAUGGGGAAGGAUUAGUUUGAUUAAGUAAAAAUUCAUCAAAAAAUUUUAAUUAAUAAAAUUAAAAACUUUGUAAAUUAUCCUUCUGAAUUUAAACUUUACUAAAUGACAAAAUUAAACUCAAAGCAUUUAUAGAUGGGGAAUCUUGAUUAUGAAAUUUUUACUAAAUAUAGAAAAAUUCCUAUAUUAAUUAUAAAAAAAAUCUCAUCAACAGUGUAUUUUUAUUUUUAAAAUAAAUUAAUUUUUACCUCAAACCUAAUUUGGUAAAUUUAUUGAAACAUCAAAAACUCUCUUUGAAGUUAAAAAAAUAUUAAAGUUUACUUACCUUACUUUGAAUUUAAAGCAUUAAAAAUAUAUAGUGAAAUAUAAGUGUAGACCCCCAUUUGGAGCUCAUUUUCUGCAGCUUGCUUUUAGCUAGGUGACACCAUCUGGGGGAAGCCACGUGUCACAUUUUGACUAGCUGCUAGAGAAUCACAAUAGUGGAGUUGGAGGAGCAAUCAGGGAUUGACACUUGGAGGGGAGCUGCAGAAGAGGUACGUUUCUGUUAUAGUGGAGGAGGCCGGCUGCAGGGUAGGGGACUGCGGUUGAAGAUAUUUUGGAGGGAGAUUUUGAGGGAGCUUUGGGGGAUGCUAGUCGGAGAGAAGUUGAGAGAAGGAGAUCUCUGGAGCUAGGGGGGUGAGGGUUUUCCAGGGGGGCUUCCAUUGCCAUUGAGGAGGUUUUCUUGAGAGGUGCAGGGAUUCUGCAGUGAUGAGAGAGCCGUGAGGGGAUUUUCCUUUGGGGGCUUGGAGGUCAAGAGAGUAAGAGUUUUGGCUGGAAGGGAUUCCUUGAGCUGAGUGCUGCCUGGAGAGCAACUUGAGAGAGAGGAGAGUAGAGACAGAGAGGUUGAUGGAGGAUUUUUGGGGGCUGUUUAGUAGGAGAGAAAACUAAGAGGCAGAGAGCUGAGCGUUUGGUGAGAGAAGAGGUUCGACUAUUUCAGGAGUUUCGUUGAUUUUGCAGGGGAACAAAACCUCACUGGAGAAGGACAUUCUCAGGUACGAAGGCAGCAGGUUUAUUGUUUUAUUUUGGUUUCUCAUUAUUCCCCUACAUUUCCUGUUGAUAUCUGCAUGUUGUUUGGUUUGCUUGGGGUGGAUAUUGAAGGCCACUAGUUGUUUGUUGAGAUGAAAUCUUGCAUUCACGUUCGCCAUUGCUGUUUUUGAUAUGUUGUGCUCCUAUUAUGAAUAUGCCUCAAUGUUAUAUUUAAAAUGGACUUUCUCACCUAAUCAGGGGGUUCACGGAUGAUUCAUGAAGUGAAACUCCUGAGAAUCACCUUUACUUGUUUCCUUUCCUGUCUGUACACCAUCUUUGCUUUUUCUCUGCUUCUGGGCUUUGGAUCAAUGCAAGAGUUGUGGGGAAGUGGAUUCGGGUUUGGACUGUGUGCUCCUUCAAAGAAAUCUGACAGAGGAAAAGGACUAUGACCAGGGGUGAAAAAGUUCUGCUAUGAGGUUUAAGAGAGGCUCCAUAGCCCCACUCGGAAUUUGUUGAUAUCCUAUUUGUGUGUAGAAGAGAUGCUCUGUGGGGGUCUCCUUAUUGGCUGUCUUCGUCAUCAAGCACCUACCAGCCAAGGCUAUCGUAGAAUAUGCCAAGAAAUGCAGAGCAAAUGAACAAGGCUCACCUGGUUAGAAAUUAAAAGGUCCAUCUCCAUUAUUGGGUAUGGUGGGAAGGCCAUCGUUCACUUCAAAGAAACCAUAGUGGGCAACGGGAAUUUAAUGUUAGACCAGAACAUUGCCAUUCCUUCAGGAGACAUGCUGGCAGAAACGGAAGUAAUGGUUCAGACUGGGGUGCCCAUGUCUAUUGAUGAAGAGUUGUCAGGAAAUACCGUCUGGGUUUAUUCCAGCUUCGAUGCAGGAAAGGAUCCUAUAUGGAGGUGAAAUGCAGAUGAGGGUUCAGCAUGAGAUGCGGUAAUGCAGUCCCGUUUGUAAUCGCGGGCCCACAUGUAUAAUUGCUAUUUGCAUGGUCAAUUUUUCUCACCACUGUUUUAACCACUGUACCCAUGUACUAAUCCAAUGCUUUACAUGCCCGCUGCCCACUCCUUCAUACCCAUUAACGUCCAUCAUCAUAUACCCACUUCCCAAACACCCCUUCCAUUCCACCUCAUCGUCUUUCUACCUUUUCAGGUCAUCCAUUCCCCAUCUUUCAUAAUACCCAUACCCAGCUGACUCGCCCCUCAUUUCCCAUGCGCACGUGAUCACUAUGCAUUUCUACCCGGGCUCAAUUCGCUUCUAGGCCUCUAUUAUGUCCAAUCUGCUGCCCAUCUCCCAUUUGUCUACCAUUCUCCAUGUCUUUCUUUCCUCAUUUGAUCAUCAUCUCAGAUUUAAUCUUUUUAUUCCAUCAUCAUGCCCACGUCUCCUUCUUUCAUCCUACCACCCAACCAAUUUCUCUCAUUAUCCGUCACAUUAAUCACAACCUGCACUUGUCAAACCCGCUACCCCAUCCAGUGGUAUUCGGAUGGUCAUGCAUGGUGUUCUGGAUAUGAGCUUGGGAGGCAUUGACCCGUGUUCCAUGUGCAUGUAUGAACUUGGUAAUGACAGAUGUCUCUUUUUAAAGCGGAUAGCUGCGUCUUAUGGACCUCCAUGUAAAUAUCAAAGUCACGGGUGUUUGAAUAUAUAUUCUCGUUAUAGCUAGCUGUCGUGAAUUUUGUGGACUACUUGGGGUAUACCUAAGAUGCUAAGGAGCAUGGAAUAUUUCAUAAGAGGAGUGAGAAAGCAAAGAAAGCUUCAAUGUAACGGAAAGUCAUGGCUUAUAACCAGCUUAACAGAGAUGUUUCAGGUCAUCAGCUAAAGCAACAUGGGAGAAGGAUUGUAGAUAUUGCAUUUGCUCAAGAUGCUAUUGAUAAGUACCAGACUCGUGAAGCUGCAGCUGCUAUCCAAGGAAAAAUGGUGGGCACGCAGCGUAAGAAGAGGAAAGCAUGCUAGCGAUCUUGAAGGAGAAGAGGAGGGAAUUAUUGGUGCUGCGGGGACUGCUUGUCUUGGAGAUGAUUCUGUAGAGUGCUGUCAAUGGCGAUCUACACUGCGCUGUUAGUGGCUUUCUCAUCACUAUUUCUGUAACAGCUGGAGUACAAAAGACAUGGAGAUGUUUGAUGCGCCUGAAGCUUGAUUGGCCACAUGUGAUGGGAUUUAGAGAGGGUAUUUUUGUGCCGAUAUACUGAAUCUUUUGACAAAGCUGUACGUGAAGGAGUAGCAUUAUCAAUCCUAUUCAGUUUCAAAGACGUCCAAUUCCCUGAAACCAUCAAGUCUGGUGGCAUCCUCAUGGGUUCGUUUCAUGUUGUGGGUGUAUACAAGAAUGGCAAUCACUUGAUCUCUUUUCAGCAGCAGAAUGAGAACUCCACAAUGUGGAAUCAUGGGCCUGGUUCCCAAACGAUGUCUGCUGUUCCAGCAAACACAUAUUACAGCUUCCAGGGCCAAAAUCAGCAACCCGGUGGAUUUCGGCAAGGGCAUCAGCCUUCCCAGCAUUUUGGGGUCCUUGGGUAUCCAAAUUUCCACCAUUCUCAGGCUGGGAUCUCGCUGGAACAUCAGCAACAAAACCCUAGAGAUGGGUCCCUGAGUGGGUCUCAAGGCCAAGCGUGCAAGCAGUCCCAACAGAUAUGGAUUUACAGAGCCUGACAAUCCAAAUGAUAUAGUGAAUAUUAAUCUUGAACUGAUACUUCAUUGGAGUUCAGCUUUGUUCUCGGGUCGGCAUAGCAAAGGAAAAUUUACCCAAGAUUGAGAAUAUAUGAGCGAGUAUCUAAGGGGACUUCUGAAAUUCUGGAACUGGCAUUCUGUAAGAUAUUCCAAACCCGAGCGCAUCUGGAGUACAGCCAUAAGUCCAAGUGAAAAUCAACAGUUGCGUGUUCAAUGAUGUGGUUCAGUGAUCAGCUUACCUACACCCCGGGGGACCCCUAACUUGCAUGUUUAUUCCUUACCAACUCUCCCACUUAUACCUUUCUGCAUGGCCACCUUUGGUGCCACAUACCUUUUCUUCUCUUUUCAUUUCAUCAUCUUUGUUUUUAAAAUAAUCCAUCAAAUUCCAGUUUUCAAAUGGUUUCUCAAAUUUUAAAUUCUUCAAAUAAUUUUACCAUUUUUUUAGUUUUCAUCCUUAGUUUAUUUUUUUUUAGGACCUAAAAAUCCCAUUUUCAAUGAAAUUUGGUCGCCUUUUUUUUCUUCUUGGUGAGCCACUUUCGAAUUUUUCGUGAUUUUAAAAUGUUUUAAAAUAAAUAUGAAUUUAAAUUCCGUAAUUCCGAAUAAUGGAAUUUAUGGAAUUAAUUCAUGCAAAAAUAAACGGGCUUUGGUGGGGGCCCUACAUAUGUGAUUUCAUGAUUGAUUUACUGAUUAGUUGAUUGGCUUUCUAGGCAUGAUUGAUUUGCUCUAUUCUUGAUAUGCGCUUAAUUAUAUCUGUUUAUUGUUCACUAACCAUGUUUCAAGAUAGCGCAUUCGUGAUUGCCGCCCAGGUAUGCAUCUAUUCAUAUUUUGCUCAUUCUUUAUAUAUGUUUUGCCUCUCAUAUUGUGCAUGAUCGAUUUGAGUAUUCAUCGAUUUUCUUGUUGAUGGCCAUGUUAGCUUCACUUUAUUAGUAGAGACCCGUUUUUAGGGACUUAGAGGGGUGCUACGGUGUUUACCGUACCUUCCCGAUAAGUAACCUGACCCCCGAACCCGACCCGGUUUUUCGCAGACCGCCUUUCCCAAAAUAAGGAGUCACACUUAGGGUUUUUCUUUCUUAUUUUGUUUACCCUUUAAAAAUAAAACAAAAAUAAGUGGCGACUCCGAGUCAAUUUUUCUUAAUCAAUAAAAAUCAAUUUUUUUCAAAUAAAAAUCGAGCUCGCCAUCGAGUGGGAAACGCAUUCGAGCGAUCGAAAUGCGGGGUCCACAAAAUGGCGACUCCACUGGGGAUUAUUUUAGAGGGUCAAGCUUGAACUUAAGAUGAAGCAAACAUGGCAUUUGAUGAGUCUAUCAGUGGGUACUCACUUCUUGAUUGCACAUUGAGGGUUCCCGAGUUUUCACUUGGGACAUUGACAUGAUAGAUUGUAUUGGUCGAUUAUCUUGAUUGGAGAUUCUGACACAGUGAUUUUCUUUGUGCUUCAUUGAUAUAUUUGUUUGAGAUAUUUGACAUGAUGAUUAUGAUGAUUGAUUCGUAUUGAUAGAGGAUUCUGAGAUAGAUAUUCUCUCUGUGCUUCAUUGAUAUAUUCAUUUGAGAUUUUGACAUGCUGCUUAUAUUGAUUGAUCAUUUCGUAUUGCUUAGCGCAUUGAUCCUGAUUUUGCCAUGAUUAUUCUGAUCACUUCACAUGCAUACACUCACCAUUGUAUAUCACUCAGUUUGACAUGUUGAUUCUCUGACUUGUAUAUCCUCUCGGUCGUCUUUGAGCAUGAUGUUCAUAUCACUAUUCAUCCUGAUAGUUGUAGCUUUUUGUGUGGACAUGAGUGAUAUAUCCUGUACUCUGCUUGACUGUAUGAUGCAUGACUGCCCUCCCUCUGUAUGAUUGCAUGUUGCUUGUCUAUGUGGGUCUCACUUCUAUCCCCCUACCUCCAACUCUCUUGGUGUCGGUCAUUCAUUUCAUCUUGGUUCUCACUAUUGCAAGUGUGAGACCUUCUAUGUGCUUGUUCUCUGACCGAGCCAGAGGUUAGGAGUAGGGUCUAGCGAUGGGCUAUAUCGAUGCACGGGAGCAUUCUGGAGGAGAGCGACACUUUGAUGUCGAUUGGAGUCCGAUCAUUGAAGACCUGUAUAGCCCCGAGCUAGGUUUCAUGGAUAGUCGUGCGACCAGUGUGUUUCCUCUUCUGCUCUAGAUUCUUAGGGUUUUCGGAUGCACCCACAUCAUUCAUUGUGCACUCUAGUUGGCUAUUGAGUGUUGAGAGUUUGAGAGAUUUCACCAUAGGAAGCCCCCUGGGAUGCGAGGUAGUGCAUGUGUGGAGGUGAUGACCACCUUGCAUGGAAGUGCCCCGUCUCUUUAGAGGCGUGCAGAGGGUUGCGUACCGCCGGAGGGUAUGAUCGCUUCUGCUAGGGAUCUUUAAAAUCCACCCAUAUCCAUUUAGAGCCACCUUGACCUUGUAGUUUGAGCCGUAGAUCCUUUGAUUAGGACUCCCUCCCUACACGUGGGUGCAUCUGAGGGCCUUCAGAGCCUCUGUGGUUACAGUUCGGAUCCAGUAUUCCCUCUUUUUAGUCUCCAGUUGAGAGUGCUCGGAGAUCGGUAUGAGUUUGAGUAUCGGUUGGAUCAUCUUUCGUCUUGUCACCUUAGUUUGUGUUUUUCACUCGAUGAGUUUAGCAUGUUUUCUCCCUAUGGCUUUUGUUCUCAUUUCUUGGCUCGACGUACCUCUUCACUUUGUUGUCACUCACUCGAUACUUUGGGAUAUGUUCAUGAUCAUCUUUUUACACUGCACACCUAUCACGGGCUCAAUACCUCAUCAUUUGUUUGAUCCUUGGUUCGAUUUUCGACUCGGUGCUCAUAUUUUCAUUACAGAAAGGUGAAAGGCCCAUUUUCCUAUUCACACAUUUUUCGAGAGAUUCGCCUUGAUCACCUUAUCAUUUUUUUUUCUUGUGGAGCUCGAGUUGAAGGUUGAAUCAAGGAUAUUUUGGUCUAUAUUGAGUAUCGAUCUCGUGAUAGUGUUCUUCACACCCCAUUUACUUUCUUCACACCUUGAUCACUUUUUGGAUCAUCGAUAGAAAUUCUUUAGUCAUAUUUGUAGUUGUCUCACACUGGACACUCAUGUGACUCUAGAGAUUCUAUCGUAUAUCCAAAUUUUGAUUGUCACCAUAUGAUUGUGUAUCGCACCCUAUCAUGUAUUGAGUUGUAUUGUAUCAUGCAUUGGUCAUUGUUCGUUACAUCCCGUGUCGUUGCAUGAGUCGUGUUUGAGUCGUUGUGUUUAGGUUCUUUUGUAGGGGUUAUUUGUAGUCCCAGUCUUGGUUCAGUGCCCUGGGUUGAGUGGGAUAGAGGUUGAUUCAUAUCUCUGAGCUGAUAUAGACGGAUUCACAGUCAGUUUCGAUCGGUUAGCUUAUCGCUUCUGUGGUUUCGAUUCAGGGGGCAUUGACUAGUUUGAAUUAGAGGAUGGAUAGUCAGCCGAGUAGGCAUGUAGUGCUCGAGGACACGCCAUCUGAUAUAGUGACGCCACCUAUUAUACCCGUUCAGAUGCCAGCUACACAGACUUUGCAUACUAUUUCACAUGAUCGGGCUGCUAUCGUUCCACCUAUUGUCACACCAGUUACCAUUAUUGAGGAUCCUCGUUCUCGUAUGGACAGACUCGAGCGGAUGAUUGGACAGAUGAGAGAUCCAGAUGAGAUGAUUCCAUGGGAUGACCCUAGCGAUGUGCCAGUGGCCACUUUGCCAGUCGGUUUCAGGAUGCCGGAUAUAGAGAGAUAUACGGGUGUUGGAUGUCCUCGUAUUCAUCUCAGACUUUAUAGCACAGUUAUGAGGGCUCUUGGUCUAGACGAGACACAGUUGCUUACUUUGUUCCCAUUGUCAUUGAGCGGCGCGACACAGAGAUGGUACGCUUCCUUAGAGUCAUCUCGUCGGAGAACUUGGGAGGACUUAGCACAGGAGUUUUUGAGACAGUAUUCAUUCAGUGGUGAUACGAGCGUCACACGUAGAGAGCUUGAGUUUCUUAGACAGGGAUCAGAUGAGUCUAUUUCUUCUUUUAUCUCCCGCUGGAGGGAGAAAGCCGCGGAGAUGAUUGAGCGACCUACCGAGAGUGAUCAGAUGAGCAUGUUUUUUUAGGAGUUUGCAUCCUAGGUUCGCUCGACAUCUGACAGGAGUCCCAUUCCAGGAUUUCAGAUCAUUGGUUCAGGCUUUGUUCGAUGUAGAUGAUGGCAUAUCUAGAGGAUUAUGGUCAGAUAUUAUUCCUUCCCCAGAUACUGAGGGGAAGAGAGUUGGUGGAUCAUCUGAGAGCUAUGGAGGCGUAUGUUCUGCGGACUUUCAGCAUCGACGGCCAGGUUAUCAUCCCUAUGCGAGAUCAUUGCAAAUACCUAUGAGUGAUUUCGCACCUUCACAGCAUCGUCAUCCUCAGUCAGUUCAGCAGUAUCCUUCUGUGCAUCCUCAUACUGUCACAGUGUGACCUUCAUUUCAUUUUCGGCGUCCACAGACUAGUAUCCCACGGUAUGAGCAAUCUCGUCCCCAUCGGCGACAUCAGAGGACUUAUUCUGAUUUGGGGAUGCCUUUGGAUAGAGCUUUUGAGCGACUCCGAUCUACUGGUGUUUUAGUACCAUUGGCCCCUAGGCCACUCCCGAGUACCUUGCCUCCGCGUUUUCGUGCUCACGAGUUCUGUGCAUUUCACCAGAUGGCAGGCCACCGUACCGAUUAUUGUGCUUCUCUACGUCAUACCAUACAGGAUCUUAUUGACAGUGGUGCAGUUAGCUUCCCCAUAUAGACCGCAGAUACUGAUCUCGGUCCAGAUAUGAUUGCUGAUUCCUUUCCAGCUUAUUCCACACAUGCAGUUCCUUCUCCCUCGGGCUUAUACCGUCAUGUUUGAGACACCCAGGGCACUGAUAUUCACCAGACACUUUGAUAUUGCAGACCUUGUGGGUGUAUUUUGGGACUACCUUGUUAGUUGGUCGUUUGGGUCUUUGUUCUCUUUUAUUUUAUAUUUGAGUCUUGUUUUGUAGUUAGUGAUUCGAGUUGUACCCUGUGUUUCGAGAGUAGACCUACUUGUCUUAUUUUCCGCAUGAUGUACUCUCAUUUCACUUAGUGAUAUUGUUGUUUUCUUGGGUAUGUGUUUCUGUCUUCUUUUUAUUAUUAUCAUUGUUCCGUAUCAUGCAUUUUAUGUGUUGUUAUCUUGUGUAGCAUCUUGUGUUGCUUUGUUUUGUCUCUUGCAUGUGUUUGUUUUAGAGUCUUGGACGGUUUUAGUGUCGUGACUGGUCCCUGAGCAGAGUUUGACGGUAUGAUGAUUAUGAUACAGAGCACCUUGAGACUAGACUUCUUCAGCUGAGGUUCACCAUGUCGGACGAGAUCACACCCAUUACUCUUACUGCUCUUUAUGAGAUGAUGGUGGAUUUGACGCAGAGGGUUGAGAGGAUUGAGCUUAUUUUGUCAGAGCUUCCAUCGUCAUCGAGAGGAGCUCCAGGAGUAGCGAUGUCUUCAUUGCCACACUUGACUUCGCCGACACCUACUACUUUGGGUGCCUCGCAUCCACGACCUCGCCCACAUUUAGUACUCCAUCAGCAUUCCUCAUCCAUUUCAUUGGCUACGUUGGCACGACCUCCAUCCCGGCUUCGAGGCUCUCCGGUCGUUACAGUUCCUCGGGAGCGAUUUCACCCCCAUCGACGAUGUCGGAGACACUUUUCAGAUUUGAGAGCACCCCUGAGCAGAGUUUUUGAGACGUUGCAGGCCAUGGGAUUUCUGGCUCCUCUGGCUCCUAGGGCACUUCCAGAUCCUAUGCCUCCACAGUUUCGGCUUUAUUUAUAUUGUAUGUACCAUCAGUCAGUAGGACAUCACACUGAUCGUUGCACUGCUCUACGACAUGCCAUACAGGACAUUGUUGAUUCUGGGACGUUUGGGGAUCCUCAGUCUGAUAUGUUUCCUAUUCCUACCUCAGCUCAUGCCAUGCAUGCAGACGCCUCUUCACCAGCGGUCCCUGAUCUUAUUGACUUGGGCGAUUGACUCAUGAUUGGUUUACCUUGGUGCAGUGGUGCUCAGAUUUUGUUCCUUCUAUGGCCAGAGAUGUGAUGACAGGACCAGUCACUGUUUUUGUUUUUGUUUGUUUAGUCUUGUUUUGUUUUUGACAUUUAGAGACUACAACUCGAUUCUUGAGUAUUGUCUUUGUUGUCUUUCUUUUACAUGAUGUACUCAUCGAAUUGUCCCAUUGGAUGCAUUUUCCUUUAUGGACAUGUGUUUGUGUUUUGUGAUAUGAUGUGUUGUACUUUUGGCUUGAGGCAUCUCUUCACUUGCACAUUGUGAUCUUGGGGAUUUACCUAUCAUGGGGGAUAUUGAGCCCAUUAGCCUAGGAUCAGAGAUUUGACUUAGGGAGUUCGAGAUUGUGACACAUCUUCUUAUGAUCAGAGCAGUACCUUGCUCACUUCCCGCACUUUGACUUUGCUUUGACCUACAUCCAUCCAUUGUGAGCUUUGCACAGCAUCACCCUUUGAGACCAUUAUAUGACCUUUCCAUCCUCGGCUUUUCUAGUUUUGCACAUCCCCUCUCUGAUCCGACCAGGUAGAGUGUGAGGAGUUUGAGCCCAGGGUUGAUCUUGCAUGGCGAGGGAUAUCUUAUGAUCUUUGGGUGGUUUACGAUAUGUGGAUUGGUCGAUUGCUUGAUGGGACUGUUACUUAUUUUGCCAUGAGUAUAGAGAUUGAUAUUGUAUGAUGAGAGUUGGCUUGUGAUGGGCACUCGUGCCUGAUGAGAUCACCGUUCACUUUGCUUUGAGAGGAUCAUCUUUGAGAUUAUUAUAGAGCAUUUGGAGUACGAUUUGAUGCAUGAUUCUAGAGGUUUGACAUGGUUAUAUCAUAUGGACAUCGAUCUUUAGUAUUGAUCAGUUGAGGACUUGAUAGCACGAUGUUUGAGACCGUGGUCGCAGGAUGGGUGGCCUUCAUUUCGGUUAGCUCACACCUUAUUACCUUUAUUGACAUCUAGACCAUUGCUAGCCCUUUGAGCCUCGCAUGAGCAUCAUAGCCUUUUAUUUCUUAUAGCCUUGCUCACCUUCUACACCGGGAUAGGGGCCCUUCAGUGUAUGCAUGCAUUGUUUAGGAGUUUCAUGAGCCUUGGACCGAGGGGCACAUCUUUCUCAUUAUCUUUUCCUAUCAUUGCGUCAUUGCAUUUCGUCACAUCUCGUUGGUUCUUCAUCCUCUUCUUUAUUAUAUCUAUCGUUUGUUCCGCUUCAUCUUCUCCCACCCCGAGUGGUGAUCAUCCUCAGUUCAUUACAUGGAGGGUAGUCAUGUCAUUUUCCACUAUCUAUCCUACGGACGUUGAUCCAGGGAUCCUUGGCUUGAGAGGGUCACAUCAUUAGAGAGAGUUUGUGAUAUAUUGAUAUUUGAGAGCAUGUUUAUUCAUUUUUUAUCCCGUUUUUGGAUCUUUCUUGGUUUACGUUCAGGGCAUGUAUAUUUGUAUAUAUGUAAAAAAAAAAAAAAAAAAAAAAAAAAAAAAAAAAAAAUUGAAAAAAAAAAAAAAAAUGAAAAGAAAAAAAAAAAAAAAGGGGCACAUGUGUGUAUUAUUCUCUAUCAUUGGGUAUGUGUAUAUUAGUGUUCGAGGGGUCGCUUUGUUGGAUAUGUCUAUUGAUGGGAGUUCGUAUGUGAGCUCCUCGGGACCUUUCAUUCUUCGUAUUCAUUUUGUUGUAUGUUUUGAGAGUGAGAUGAGUGACCUUCUCUUAGGAGCUCUGGGUCAUUGUCCAUUCCAUCAUUGUGUUCGUUAUUGACGUGACCUCCUUUCAUAUUUGAUUUGAGCAGAUCAUCACUUGUUCUCGUAUUCUAUGCUUCAUCAUCAUCCUCGUUUCACUUCUAUUUCAUCAUUUUCAUUCCACCCCUUAUUCCGUUCUUACAGUGACCUCAUUUUCGGGUUCGAUACCCUCUUCGCACCAUCAUUAUACAUCUCGUCAUGAGUUCGAUUUUUCUUCAUUGCAUCAUCAUUGUUACCAUGUUCACAGUAGGCAUCUUCAGGUCCAUGGCUCACGAUAUUUUCUAUACAUGUUGCAUUUUAUACAUGAGGGCAUGGGUUUUGAUCAUUGGGUAUUUGGGCCUAGUUUCCCUUCAUUUCUAUCACCCUAUCACCUUAGCCUACGUUACGUCCCGUGUCUUAAGACCACCCUGAGGCCAUGACAUCACACGUUGUGUUUGAUAGCUCUUAUGCGAGCGAUACUUGGGAUUGAUUCAGGAGCAUUCUGAUUGUGACAGACCGGGAGUUAUGGUAUGACCUUACACUGGGGCAUAGCCAUCUCAGAGAGUUUUAUUAUCGGAUGAUCAUUAUGUCGAGGCAUACUCUUCUCAGUCGAUGACGGAUUUUUGAGCCAUGUCCAUUCCUUGGAGGAUAUCAGAUGUCCUUUUUUCACAUUGGAGCAUGAGACAUGAUUGGCGCAUUUCAUCUGGUGUACUUUACACAGGGGCAUACCCCUUUCGGUCGAUGAUGGUUUUUUAGGUAUAGCUGUUCCUCGGAGGUGUUUAGAUUCAUUUCACAUUGGAGUACGGGAUAUGAUUGGUUGAUUUCUUUGAUAUGAUCACGAGAGCAUGGCCUUCUCAUCAUUGUUGACAUUUUUUGAGAUGAUUGGAUCAGGACACGGGCACUGAUGAGAGCAUGCAGUAGAGUUUAGUCAUUCCAGGGUUUGCCCUAUACUGGGGCAUAACCCUUUCAUCAGAGGUUGAUCUUAGAGACACCAGUUCGCAUUGGGACAUGCUCUUUCUUUAGAGGAGUUCAGAUACUCUCUUCACAUUACCACGAUGACUUUGAGGAGCAGAGGUUCAUUUUGAUCAGAUGAUGUAUAUUGGUUGUACUCCUCUCAUUGAUGUUCGAUUUGGAGAUGCUUACACUGGGGCAUAGCCCACUCAUUGAUGAUGAUUUUGUGAGAUGACAGUUUAUGCCGGAUACUUACUUUCCAGAGAUCAUUCUGCAUUGAGAGCUUACCCAUUCUGAGAUGACGCAGUCACACUGGGGUAUAGCCACCUUGCUGAUUUUGACAUUGAGACUCCAUUUCGUGUUUAUGAUUGCUACUUUUGAUGGAUCAUAGAGUCAUUGGCACCUUGGGCUCAGUCUUCUCAGCAUACCUAGUUUGAUUCGGGUACCCACUUUCCUUUGUUACACACCUAUACAUCCUACAUUGGACACUGUUAUACCCGCACCCAUCUUAUCAGAGCCUUACAUCUUUUGAGCCCACAUAUUUCAUCGUCUUACAUGACCUUAUCCUUUUCUCUUGAUCAGGGGAAGAUAUGGGCUAGUCUUGAGCUUUCUGGUUGAGUUUUCACAUGCCUUUGGACAUUAGGUUCAACAUCUCCCAUGAUGGUAGGACCUAUUAGAUUGUUGAUGCACUUGUGAUGAUGUACUCAUAUUGAUAGUUGACAUGCCAUGUUUUGAUUUGCUUACAUUUCAGACCUAGAGUUUUGGUCAGCGUUUGUGUGAUCCAUUAUUUUAGUUUUGCUUUGUCAGCAUAGUUUCAGUGAUGUUUGGACUUGUUUUAGCGUUUGUUCAUUGAGGCUAUGUAUAUCUUUUGCAUUGCAUCAUCAUUGAGCAUAUCCCAGAGUGUCUUGUAUGGUGAGAUUCCGUGUCUUAUGUUAGUUACUAUACUACACUGGGGCAUACCCCCAUCCUUGAGUUCAUCGGAUAUUUUGCAGAUUCUCUCACUACUCGAUCUACUUCUUGAUCUUUAUGGGUCGUCACACUGGGGCAUCCCCCCCCCAUCCUUGAGUUUAUCAGAUCUUUGGCGUACUCUCCCACUGCUUGAUCUAUUUCUUGAUCUUUGCGGGUCGUCAUGCAGGGGCAUACCCCCUUUAGCGCUUUUCUACUGGGGCAUACCCCCUCCCGUUGGGUUUGUCAUGUCUCGUGCUGAUUUCAUGAUUGUCAGGCGCAUAUGUCGAUCUUUGCGAGUUAUCACCUAGGGCGUCCCCCUACUGUCAUCUUGUUUAGGGCAUCCCCCUUCUGUCAUCUUGUAUAGGGCAUCCCCCUAUUGUCAUCUUGUUUAGGACAUCCCCCUUCACUCAGAUUUUCACCACCAUAGAUUUUCAUCUAUGGGCUUUUCAGUUAUUAUCACCAUCAUAGAUUUUCAUCUAUGAACAUUUGUUUCAGAUUCACCAUCAUGGAUUUUCAUCCAUGAGCCUUUGUUUCAGAUUUUCACCACCAUAGAUUUUCAUCUAUGGGCAUUUCAGAUUCACCAUCAUGGAUUUUCAUCCAUGAGCCUUUGUUUCAGUUAUCACCACCAUGGAUUUUCAUCCUUGGGCUUUUGAGAUUAUAUCACCACCAUGGAUUUUUGUCCUUGGGCAUUUCGAGAUUAUCACCACCAUAGAUUUUUAUCUGUGGGCAUUUCAGUUUUCACCACCAUAGAUUUUUAUCUGUGGGCAUUUCAGAUUUCACCACCAUAGAUCAGACAUCCAUGGGCAUUUCAGAUUCACCAUCAUGGAUUUUCAUCCAUGAGCCUUUGUUUCAGUUAUUAUCACCAUCAUAGAUUUUCAUCUAUGAGCAUUUAUUUCAGUUAUCACCACCAUGGAUUUUCAUCCUUGGGCUUUUGAGAUUUUCACCACCAUAGAUUGGCAUCUAUGGGCAUUUUUAUUGUAUCACCACCGUAGGUCUUCACCUAUGGGCCUUCUAGUUUAGUGUUUAGGGUUAGUUUUUUUUGUUUGGCUUGCAGAGCUUUAUUUUCUUAUUUUCUAGUUUAGUGUUUAGGGUUAGUUUUUUUUGGUUUGGCUUGCAGAGCUUUAUUUUCUUAUUUUCUAGUUUAGUGUUUAGGGUUAGUUUUUUUUUUGUUUGGCUUGCAGAGCUUUAUUUUCUUAUUUUCUAGUUUAGUGUUUAGGGUUAGUUUUUUUUGGUUUGGCUUGCAGAGCUUUAUUUUCUUAUUUUCUAGUUUAGUGUUUAGGGUUAGUUUUUUUGGUUUGGCUUGCAGAGCUUUAUUUUCUUAUUUUCUAGUUUAGCGUUUAGAGUCAGUCUUGUCAUGCAGAGUCACAGCUCCUAGCGUUCAUAUUUUCUGGCAUUGCAUGUCUCACCUUCAUGGAUUUGCACUUAUUCUCACUCUCCUCACCUCGUUACCCUGUGCUUAUCGCCUAUUCAUCUCGUAGUCCACAUAGGGCAUUCUCCUUUAGACGCAUUCUUGUUCAUGCUCUAGGGUGGUUCGACCGUUACUCACCUUUGACAUCGAUCUUCGGGUCACUUUUGGAGACGUUUUAGAGGGAGUUUGGAUCCUUAGUGUGGCUUCAGAGGCAUUUCGAGACACCCAUCUUUCUCUUUUAGGAUUAGAGCCUUUGUGUUUGUCUUUUGGCCUGAGUGAGUUCACAUCUCACUAGUGUCCCUAUGGGGGUCUCCUUAGUUCUUCGGUAGAGUUCACUUCAUUCCACUCACUAUUCACACUUACCUUUCACUUCAGUGUUCAUAUUCUUUACACUCGUGAACUCUACCGAAGAGGGGCAUAUUUGUAGACCCCCAUUUGGAGCUCAUUUUCUGCAGCUUGCUUUUAGCUAGGUGACACCAUCUGGGGGAAGCCACGUGUCACAUUUUGACUAGCUGCUAGAGAAUCACAAUAGUGGAGUUGGAGGAGCAAUCAGGGAUUGACACUUGGAGGGGAGCUGCAGAAGAGGUACGUUUCUGUUAUAGUGGAGGAGGCCGGCUGCAGGGUAGGGGACUGCGGUUGAAGAUAUUUUGGAGGGAGAUUUUGAGGGAGCUUUGGGGGAUGCUAGUCGGAGAGAAGUUGAGAGANAGAUCUCUGGAGCUAGGGGGUGAGGGUUUCCAGGGGGCUUCCANNNNNNNNNNNNNNNNNNNNNNNNNNNNNNNNNNNNNNNNNNNNNNNNNNNNNNNNNNNNNNNNNNNNNNNNNNNNNNNNNNNNNNNNNNNNNNNNNNNNNNNNNNNNNNNNNNNNNNNNNNNNNNNNNNNNNNNNNNNNNNNNNNNNNNNNNNNNNNNNNNNNNNNNNNNNNNNNNNNNNNNNNNNNNNNNNNNNNNNNNNNNNNNNNNNNNNNNNNNNNNNNNNNNNNNNNNNNNNNNNNNNNNNNNNNNNNNNNNNNNNNNNNNNNNNNNNNNNNNNNNNNNNNNNNNNNNNNNNNNNNNNNNNNNNNNNNNNNNNNNNNNNNNNNNNNNNNNNNNNNNNNNNNNNNNNNNNNNNNNNNNNNNNNNNNNNNNNNNNNNNNNNNNNNNNNNNNNNNNNNNNNNNNNNNNNNNNNNNNNNNNNNNNNNNNNNNNNNNNNNNNNNNNNNNNNNNNNNNNNNNNNNNNNNNNNNNNNNNNNNNNNNNNNNNNNNNNNNNNNNNNNNNNNNNNNNNNNNNNNNNNNNNNNNNNNNNNNNNNNNNNNNNNNNNNNNNNNNNNNNNNNNNNNNNNNNNNNNNNNNNNNNNNNNNNNNNNNNNNNNNNNNNNNNNNNNNNNNNNNNNNNNNNNNNNNNNNNNNNNNNNNNNNNNNNNNNNNNNNNNNNNNNNNNNNNNNNNNNNNNNNNNNNNNNNNNNNNNNNNNNNNNNNNNNNNNNNNNNNNNNNNNNNNNNNNNNNNNNNNNNNNNNNNNNNNNNNNNNNNNNNNNNNNNNNNNNNNNNNNNNNNNNNNNNNNNNNNNNNNNNNNNNNNNNNNNNNNNNNNNNNNNNNNNNNNNNNNNNNNNNNNNNNNNNNNNNNNNNNNNNNNNNNNNNNNNNNNNNNNNNNNNNNNNNNNNNNNNNNNNNNNNNNNNNNNNNNNNNNNNNNNNNNNNNNNNNNNNNNNNNNNNNNNNNNNNNNNNNNNNNNNNNNNNNNNNNNNNNNNNNNNNNNNNNNNNNNNNNNNNNNNNNNNNNNNNNNNNNNNNNNNNNNNNNNNNNNNNNNNNNNNNNNNNNNNNNNNNNNNNNNNNNNNNNNNNNNNNNNNNNNNNNNNNNNNNNNNNNNNNNNNNNNNNNNNNNNNNNNNNNNNNNNNNNNNNNNNNNNNNNNNNNNNNNNNNNNNNNNNNNNNNNNNNNNNNNNNNNNNNNNNNNNNNNNNNNNNNNNNNNNNNNNNNNNNNNNNNNNNNNNNNNNNNNNNNNNNNNNNNNNNNNNNNNNNNNNNNNNNNNNNNNNNNNNNNNNNNNNNNNNNNNNNNNNNNNNNNNNNNNNNNNNNNNNNNNNNNNNNNNNNNNNNNNNNNNNNNNNNNNNNNNNNNNNNNNNNNNNNNNNNNNNNNNNNNNNNNNNNNNNNNNNNNNNNNNNNNNNNNNNNNNNNNNNNNNNNNNNNNNNNNNNNNNNNNNNNNNNNNNNNNNNNNNNNNNNNNNNNNNNNNNNNNNNNNNNNNNNNNNNNNNNNNNNNNNNNNNNNNNNNNNNNNNNNNNNNNNNNNNNNNNNNNNNNNNNNNNNNNNNNNNNNNNNNNNNNNNNNNNNNNNNNNNNNNNNNNNNNNNNNNNNNNNNNNNNNNNNNNNNNNNNNNNNNNNNNNNNNNNNNNNNNNNNNNNNNNNNNNNNNNNNNNNNNNNNNNNNNNNNNNNNNNNNNNNNNNNNNNNNNNNNNNNNNNNNNNNNNNNNNNNNNNNNNNNNNNNNNNNNNNNNNNNNNNNNNNNNNNNNNNNNNNNNNNNNNNNNNNNNNNNNNNNNNNNNNNNNNNNNNNNNNNNNNNNNNNNNNNNNNNNNNNNNNNNNNNNNNNNNNNNNNNNNNNNNNNNNNNNNNNNNNNNNNNNNNNNNNNNNNNNNNNNNNNNNNNNNNNNNNNNNNNNNNNNNNNNNNNNNNNNNNNNNNNNNNNNNNNNNNNNNNNNNNNNNNNNNNNNNNNNNNNNNNNNNNNNNNNNNNNNNNNNNNNNNNNNNNNNNNNNNNNNNNNNNNNNNNNNNNNNNNNNNNNNNNNNNNNNNNNNNNNNNNNNNNNNNNNNNNNNNNNNNNNNNNNNNNNNNNNNNNNNNNNNNNNCACUUUCGAUUUUUCGUGAUUUUAAAAUGUUUUAAAAUAAAUAUGAAUUUAAAUUCCGUAAUUCCGAAUAAUGGAAUUUAUGGAAUUAAUUCAUGCAAAAAUAAACGGGCUUUGGUGGGGGCCCUACAUAUGUGAUUUCAUGAUUGAUUUACUGAUUAGUUGAUUGGCUUUCUAGGCAUGAUUGAUUUGCUCUAUUCUUGAUAUGCGCUUAAUUAUAUCUGUUUAUUGUUCACUAACCAUGUUUCAAGAUAGCGCAUUCGUGAUUGCCGCCCAGGUAUGCAUCUAUUCAUAUUUUGCUCAUUCUUUAUAUAUGUUUUGCCUCUCAUAUUGUGCAUGAUCGAUUUGAGUAUUCAUCGAUUUUCUUGUUGAUGGCCAUGUUAGCUUCACUUUAUUAGUAGAGACCCGUUUUUAGGGACUUAGAGGGGUGCUACGGUGUUUACCGUACCUUCCCGAUAAGUAACCUGACCCCCGAACCCGACCCGGUUUUUCGCAGACCGCCUUUCCCAAAAUAAGGAGUCACACUUAGGGUUUUUCUUUCUUAUUUUGUUUACCCUUUAAAAAUAAAACAAAAAUAAGUGGCGACUCCGAGUCAAUUUUUCUUAAUCAAUAAAAAUCAAUUUUUUUCAAAUAAAAAUCGAGCUCGCCAUCGAGUGGGAAACGCAUUCGAGCGAUCGAAAUGCGGGGUCCACAAUAAGUCAUUGAAUAAGGAUAUAAAUAAAUAUAUUACAAUAUGAAGAAAUUAAAUUAAAGUGUAAAGAAUUAAAGUGUAAAAGGCUACUUAAAGAAAUGAGAUUAAAGUAUAAACUACUUUGAGACAUAUACGUGAUAUGUAUACAUUCUUAUUAAUUAUAACAACAUCUUAUUAAUGAUAUUUAGCUUUUUGUACGUCUAAAGAAGGAAGGCUUAUGACAAUAUUUUUAGCAUAAAAGGUUUUUUUAUUUAAAAUAAUAAAUUCAAUUUCUUUCAAUUAUUAAAUAUUUUGUAAAGUCUUAUCCCUUUUAAUCCAUAGGAAUGUGGAAAGAUGUGAAACAAAAUUUUUAAACAUUAAAUUAUUAAUAUUACACAUAUGUGAUUAAAACUAAAAAUCUAAAGACCUAGAGAUACAAUUCAACAUCUAUAAGAAUAAAUAUUAAGUUAGUUAUUAAAAAAAUAUAAAAUAAUUUAAAAAUAUAAUCUUAUAUUAUUAUAAUAUGUUACAAUGUAUUAUCUAUUAAUAUAAUAAUUUAUUACAAUGGAUUACUAUCAUAUUAUUAAUAAAAUAUAUUAUAUCAUUUUAGGGGUGCAACUUGGACAGGUUGACCCGACCCAACCCAAACCCAAUUUGAUAUUUGGAAGGAUUUGGACAAACAUUUUCAUUACACAAGUUGAACUUGGGCUAGGUUUUCUCAAUUCAAGCUUAAUUUGGAUUGGGCUCAAGUCAUGGUUCAAAUAAUCCGAGCGAACCUGAUUUAAUAUUUUUAUAAUUUUUAUAAUUCGUAUUAUCCUAAUAAUAUUUAUUUUAUUUAAAAAAAAUCAAAUUAUAAUUAUAUCAUAUAUUUUUUCAUUUAAAAAAAAAGAUAUAUAAGUUUAUUUUUAUUUGUAUAUCAUACUCUUUUUUAUUUUUGUAAAAAAGAUAUAGAAGUUUAUUUUUACUUUAAAUUUUUUUGUUAUGUAUUAUUUAAAUUUUAGUAUAAACUUAUAAAAAAAAAUUAAAAAGCACUAUAUAUGGAUUUUGAAUUACACAAUCCACGCAAUUUGGCUAAGCCAAGUAUAAUCAGAUCAACCCAAGUUCAACUUGACCAAUCAAAAUUCAACCUGAGUUUAAAAAAAUGAGAUUGAGUUGGAUUUGUAUCGAGUACUUUGAGUUAGAGAUUGAGUUAAGUUGAACUUGGAUUGGUUGUUUUUUAAUUCAGGUUGGGCUUGCCGUCCAAAUUACAGGUCUAUGUCAUUUAAUACAUAUUAUUUUAAUUAAUUUAAAACUAUUUAUAAAUUAUUGAAAGAAAAUAAAUUAUAAUCAAAUUACUUUUUAAUAAUAUGUAUAUAUAUAAACUCUCAAAUUUAAUUUAAAUUUUUUUAUCUCACAAAAUAUUUUAUAACAAUUUUAUAUAUUUAAAAUAAUAAAAUAAAAUCUCCAUAAUCAUUAAUUAUAGUAUGAAUAUUAUCUCUUCUCAUAGCUCCACCUAUACUAAUCAAUAAUUAGUAAUAAUUUAUAAAAUGGUAUUUUAAAAUUCAUAUUUAAAAAAACCAUUUUCAAAACGAGAUUCUAUGAAUAUUUUCUAUUACUAUAAUAAAUUUUUAUUUGAAAUAGUAAUUACGAGAAAACUAAAUGUUUAGAUAUCUAUAAAAAACAAAUUUAGAUGUUGUUUGAACUUUCAUCUAGCAAAAUUAUCGUAGGUUUUUUAUUUGAAAAAAAAAAUCAUUUUUAAACCUUAAAACUAAAACUCUACAUAUUUUAUUCAAUAAGUAUAUUUAAAAAAUUAUUUCAAAUAUUGAAUUAUUGAAGUAAUCAACAGUCAACACCGCCCAAAAUGGAAAUUUGAGAUGGUUUGUUUGUGAGUGGUAGUAGGGUUAGAGAGAGAGAGAGAUGGAAUAGAAACCGAAUACGAAAUAGAGAAGGAGAUAAAGCUAUGGACUCGGGAAUCAAAAACAAACGAAAAAAAAAAAAACUCAUAAAAUUAAAGAAUGCCUCUCCACCUGUGACCACCACCCUUCUCCGAGCCGCCCAGCUGCCCCUCUAAUCCCUCUUGCAUGAACCCCUUCUUUUCUCCACAUUUAUUGUUCACACUCAUAAAGUGAUUCUCAGUCACGCAACACACAAACACAGAAGCGUUUUUGUUUUUCGGUUCUUUCUAGGGAAAGAUUGAGUAAAAUGGAAUAAGAAGAAGAAGAAGAAGAAGAAGAGAUGGUGGACAUUAAGGCACAACCAGAGUCUAUUACAGCAAACCCUGAACCACCACCCAUCUUUACGAAAGCUAAGAACAGUGGCCAUGUUAUAUUGAAGGUAUUUUGCGACGUCGUUUUAUGAUUGUCUUGUCUUUCUGUCUCGCAAGAACCUCUCUCAAGAUCACCCAUGGCCCAUGCAUGCAUAUCCCUCCUCCUCAUCUUUCUGUCCAAGAAUACUGAAACCCACAUUGAAUAGUUUUUUCUUUUCUUUUCUUUUUGAAGCUGGCGAUUUUUUUUUUCCUGUUAUUUUUUCUCUAGCUUUUCUUUCUUUUCUUAAAUUUGUUUCUUUAUUUUCCUUUAUUGUUUAUGGUGAAGAAAAUUAUUUUAGGGCUUGUGGGCUUGUUUGGAUGCCAAGAAAAUGGCAUAGCUUCGCAUUUUAGGGUUUCUCUGUAGUUUUCUUUUUCUAGGGGUUUUUCAUUCCUGUUGAUGUAGUAUAAAUAAACAAAUAAACAAAAAAUAACAACUUCGCCAUUAGAAUUUUCAAUCAAAUAUAUUGAUUUUUAUAAAUAAAUAAACAAAAUCAGAUUAUACUGGGCAAGGAUGAAAAACAAAAAGGAAAAAUAAGGAAUGCAAAACCUUUUUUUUUUUUUUGGCAGAAAAGGGGACUGUUUCAUUGAUCAUAAUGCAUGCUAUUAAAUGAUUCAAAAUUGAUUGUGUUUUUCAAAACGGCAUGUCAAAUUGCAUCUCACUUAAAAUGAAGGGAAUUCAUCCUUUAUUGCAGGAUAUAUUGAUUAAACAUCUAUUAACAAGAAUUUCCUCAUAAUAAUUUGAUCAAAUUUACAGUUUGAGGAGGUUGAUUACAAGGCUAAAACCCAUAAAGGAGGACUGCUUAGGAAGGAUUCGAAACCAGAGGAGAAGCACAUAUUGAAGGGAAUCACAGGCAUUGUGCUACCAGGUGAAAUGCUGGCCAUGUUAGGCCCAUCAGGCAGUGGCAAAACAACACUGCUUACUGCCCUUGGAGGUCGUCUUGGUGGACGGCUCAAUGGAAGCAUAACCUACAAUGGCAAGCCCUUUUCAAACCGAAUGAAGAGGAGCACAGGGUUUGUAACACAAGAUGAUGUUCUUUAUCCACAUCUAACUGUGACUGAGACAUUAGUAUUCACUGCCCUUCUCCGGUUGCCUAAUACUAUUAGUAAAGAAGACAAGGUACGGCAUGCGGAGGCAGUGAUAACUCAGCUUGGUUUAACUAAGUGCAAGGAUAGUAUAAUUGGGAACCCCUUUCUGAGAGGGGUUUCGGGGGGAGAGCGUAAAAGGGUUAGCAUAGGGCAAGAGAUGCUAAUAAACCCUAGUCUACUGUUUUUGGAUGAGCCCACAUCCGGCCUCGACUCAACAACUGCUCAACGCAUCGUGUCCACGUUAUGGGAGCUAGCGAAAGGAGGAAGAACCGUUGUGAUGACGAUACACCAGCCUUCUAGUAGACUAUUUUACAUGUUUCAUAAGGUGUUAUUGUUAUCAGAAGGGAACCCUUUAUAUUUUGGGAAGGGAGCAGAAGCCAUGGACUACUUUUCUAGCAUUGGAUUUGCCCCAUCAGUUGCAAUGAAUCCGUCUGAUUUUCUACUAGAUCUUGCCAAUGGUAUGUAUACCAUAACUUUUAUAGAAAUUGCUUAGUGUAAGUGAAGCUGGAGACAAAUUGUUGCAUGGUAGGUUAGGCUCGGUAAAGGAUGUGAGUGCUUAUUUGUAAUGUCUAUCUUACAAAUUUUGUAUUGCCUUAGAGUAUGUCCUACUAAUUUUCCUCCAUGUCCUUAUAAAGCAACCAAACAGAGUAUAUUAAUCAAGAAGAACCAAAACUAAGUGAAUUGAAAUGUUAAAAAUUGUUGGUUACUCAAAGAUUUUCCCUAUGAAUGAUGCUUUCUUUUGAUUCUAAAGCAAGUAGUUUCGAAAGGAUGAAUUAGAGAACUAGAAAAACUCUUAUGUACGUCCUCAAUAAAAACUAAUUUUUAUAAAUGGAAGUAACUUGUAUUAAACUCAACUCUCAUCAAACAAUGUAAUUUAUGCUGAAACUUGUAUCAAAGUGUAUUUGGAUUGAUAUGAUGAAAGUCUAUUUGCUUUAACAUCAUGCAUAAACCCGAGAAAUGGUAUCUAAUUUAGUUCUAUUAACUAGUAUGUAAACUGAUUGCUGCAUUGUAAAAAUUAUUUUGCAGGUGUUUUGUCUGAUGAUAUACAUGAGGAUCCAACCACCAUCAAGCAGACACUGGUUUUAUCAUAUAGGAGCAAGAUUGAUGAAGGACUGAAGGCAGAACUCCGAGAAAUCGAUAACCACCUUCAAGACGGAUUAGAAGACAAGCAGCUAGACCGGUGGGCGACAACUUGGUGGCAGCAGUGCUCUGUGUUGUUUAGAAGAGGGGUAAAGGAAAGGAGGCAUGAAUCAUUCUCUGGCCUCAAGAUUGGUCAGGUCCUGGUUGUGGGCUUCCUUUCAGGGUUAUUGUGGUGGCAAUCUGAUUCUUCACACCUGCAAGAUCAGGUUAGAAAUCCUUCACUGACUCCCUACAUAUGGCAGAUACUGUCAAUGAAAUAUUGUUCUACAUGGAAGUUCUUCGCUUUCUUUUGGCGGGAAUUUGGAAAUUUAUUGAAAAUAAACUCAACCCUUCUGCUUUAUAUGGUAAUGGAUGAUGCAAUAACUUAAUAGAAAGUUAUUAAAUAGACCAGAAUGAUAUUGAAAUUUCUUCCCUUUUUUCCUCUCUUUUCUGGGACAAUUUCUUAGUGUUCAUGCAGCUAAGCCUCUUAGACUGAUAUACAAACAAAAUGAAUUCAGAUUUUGUGUUUUAACAAUAGGAAAUCUUGUUUAUCUAUCUAUGCAGAUUGGGCUUCUCUUCUUUUGCUCUGGAUUUUGGGGCUUCUUCCCUCUGUUCCAAGCUAUUUUCACCUUCCCCCAGGAGCGGAUGAUGCUUGAAAAGGAAAGAUCUUCAGGCAUGUACAGGCUUUCAUCAUACUUCAUGUCAAGGACCAUAGGUGACCUUCCCAUGGAGCUGGUUCUUCCCACCAUUUUUGUUAUCAUAACCUAUUGGAUGGCAGGCCUCAAACCCAAUGCCAUUAACUUCCUACACACCUUAUUUGCCCUCCUAUUUAGCGUACUAGUUUCUCAAAGCCUCGGCCUUGCUCUGGGUGCUGCAGUAAUGGACCAAAAAUCAGCCACCAUACUAGGAUCAGUAAUCAUGCUCUCAUUCCUUCUUGCGGGAGGGUACUAUGUCCAAAAUGUUCCCCAUUUCAUAGCUUGGAUUAAAUACGUCUCUAUUAGCCAUUACACAUAUAAACUGUUGUUGGGUUCACAAUACAAGCCUGGAGACAUCUACCCAUGUUCUGCCAAGACCACCUGUUUGGUGGGAGACUUUCCUGCUGUACAGCUUGUGGGCCUAGACAAGCAAAUCCUUGCGGCGGUUGCUUUGGCCAUAAUGCUUGUGGGUUACCGGCUUAUCGCUUAUAUUGCCCUCAUGAGGAUUGGAGUGCCCGGUAAAAAUAGCUAGACCCCCUUUUUAUGGUCAUGAUCAUGAAGAUAUGAGGUGGUUCACAUCAUUUUUAUAGAUGCAUUUUCUUUGUAUAUACUCUUAAGUAAAUUUGAGGUGUAAGCUAGUGAAGAGAUUCAUAUAUAAAUGAAGUUUAAGUAGUGAAAGUUUUUCUAAGGCAUUUGAAUGUCCCAUUGCUAGAAAUUCAAUCUAUCCAUUGUGAUUUCAUGACAUCUAAAAUGAGUUGUUUUGUAAGAAUCUAAGCUACUUUUUGUGUAGGCACUGAAAUAUACAUAGAUCCCAUGGCUUUAUGCCCAAGUUAAAUUCUGUUGUAAUUUUUCAGGUUGAUAGGUUUCAAUUACAUCUGAAAAUCGCUUUUAAGAAACAUUGAUGUACAAAAUCACUUAGUACUUGAAUGCAUGUCACCCCCCUUGUCAUGGCCAAUCAUUUCCACAGGAAUUGUGUGCAUAUUUUUUUGUUAAAUUUUGAUUUGUCUCUCAACCCAGAGAUGGGGCAUGGCCCAGUGUCUUGCUCAUCAUAAGUUUUUUGAAUUAUAGUCCUUUUAUUAUUGGAAUCCCAACUAUCAAUACUGUGAAUUAUGCAUGUCUUCAUCAAGGGCAGUAAUGGUGGUUGUGAUGGCAAAGUUUCAGUUUAGAGUCAUACAUAGAAAUUGAAGUCCAUUGAUGACAAAGAGAUUCCACUAUCUUUCCCACAUCUUCUAGAUCCAAUGUUGAGUCAUAACUUUAGGUGAAGAAAACCAAAAAAGGCCAUUGAAAUGCCCUUUUUCUCAUUAGAUCUUCUCGAUUAAAAACAUAAACAUAUUAUAUUAUCAAAAUUAUUCAAAAAACGUUUCCAAGACAUAGCUCAACUCAAUAUGUCACUGCUCACAUCUGUAAAUUUUGAAUCAUGGGGUUGCCUUUAUAUGACAUUUGGGUUUGACUUUGCCUAUAAAACCCACGUGGGUUCAAGGCCAACUGAUAAAAAAUUAGUAAAUGAAAUUGAAGUCAAGAUCCCUAAGGAAUUGGACUUGAUUUUUCGUAACAAAAAACAGUAUAUGUUGAAAGCUGAAUCCAUGGUGGGUGGGCUUCCACCACAAUUGAUCAGUUUGACUGAUUUCAGGGCCAAUCCAUUAAGGAAGGCUAUGUCUAGACACCUUUUAGAGAAUUUAUAUGAGUUUGGCCUUAACCUCCCACUUGAUCAAACACCAAAAAAAGGUGGAAUUCAACAGAGAUCCGGAUACAGCUCAUUGUGGGUUUGACCCCAAGAGCAUGAUGUAAUGGAACUUUGUCAAAUAGUCAAAGCUUGGCCUGAACCCUCGGAGCCAUUUCACACUCCAAAUCAGCCGUGCCCAUGAUUGCCUGGUUGAAAAACACUGCGCUAUGAUCAAACCCAAGUCGAGAAAAUCAAAGGGUUGCUGCCCACAUUAUUGUCCAAUAAAGGAACGUGCUUUGAGCAGUUGGUCUAGCAGGAAAAACUGACCUGAAUUUUGUGGCAUUUAUGUUGACUCCAGCUUUGGUGUCAUGGAAGUGUUUUUCUUCUUUCUCUUAAACUCAACCCAUUCCACAUCAGGGCUUACAUAAUACGAUGCUUUCCUAUGACAUGUGGUCUGCACGUGCGUGCUUCAUGCAACAGUAGAUCGAGGCUAAACGUUUUCAACUCAUAGGCUCUGUUUGGGAAGCGUUUUUCAAAACAUUUUUUAACCCGUUUUUUAUAUUUUUAUAUACAUUUUAAAAAUUAUUUUUUAUAUAUAAUAUUUUAUUUUAAAUCAUUCUUUAUAUUUAUAUAACUUUUUUUAAAAAAAAAUUCUCUUAAUCGACAGACUUGUUUGUAGUCACGAGGUUCCAUUGAGUUCAAACCAGUGUCAUUACCCACAAUUUCUAAAAUUGAAAUUAAAUUCAAGAAACAGAUUGUAUAAUUUAUCAUUCUUACUUUCAAAAAGGAGAAAAGGCCAUUGGACUGUGAAGUGAUUUUUGUUGUUUAUGUGUAUUGGUUCAUUGUAUAGUGUCUUUUGACUUUUCUGGCCCAUUCCAAAAAAGCAAUGACACAUUUAAAAGGCCCUUACAGUCCAUUUCCUUUUGUCUUUUUACUCAUCUUUUUUAUUCCGGGCAUAAACAACACAUGGUGCAUGUUCACAUCGGGUCAGAUAUUUUGUCUGAUGUGGCAAAGACGAAUCAAUGUGGAAAAUUGAAAAUUCCAUUUCUAUUGUUGGGUGGAUUUUGCUUAACAAGAAUAUUAUAAAAUUUGGGGUAAUUAAGAGCAUGUUUGAUAGAUAGUGCUUCUAAAAAGUGUUUUUAGAGCUCGUUUGAUAGUGAUUUUAAGAAACGUUUUUAAUCUUUAUAAGAUUUGAAAAUUUUUAUCAAUCAAAUGUAAAAAAGUUAGAAAUGUUUCCUAAAAGCACUUUCAAACAUACUUUUAGAGUGCGUUUGGGAGUUAUUCUAGAAAGUAUUUCUAACAUUUUUAAUAUUUAAAUGAUAAAUUUUUUCAAAUAUUAUAAAUAUUAAAAGCGCUUCCUAAAAUCACUAUCAAACGGACUCUUAGUCUUCUUUUAACGCUUGAAAAUGUUUAUAUUUCAAAUAUUAAAAAUGUUAAAAAUAUUUCAUAAAAUCGUUAUCAAACGUACUCUAAGAAUUUAUGCGAUAGUAAUUAGAAAAGACGUGGUCUGAUAUUUGAAUUCCUUAAUAUUUUCCCGCUAAACCAAAUAAAGGAAUUUAAAUUCUUUUGUAUAAUUUUUCUUCUUUCCCCAAAUGCAAACCAAAGAUUUCAACACAAAUUUAAUGAUAAUAAAAUCAUUUUUCCCAUUUGUAUAAGAUUGUCCCCAACUACCAUCAUCCCUAACUUUUCAUUGGAUUAAUUAACUCUAUCCAUCCCCAGGACUUUGUGUUAAACUUGCACUCUAUCACAAACUCUAAAAACCUCAUUCAAUACCAUCUUUGACUUGGACCUCAUUUGAUUAACUAAAGUCCUAAUGCACAUUUAAUUUACUUAAUGUUAUCCUAUACACAUAGUUUUAAUAUAAUCCUAUCUUACCUCAUCAAUUAAAAAGUCCAUUUGAAAGUGACUUCCAAAGGAAUAAAGACAUUUUUAAAGAUUAUCUUAUAAAAAUUAAGGAUAUGUUUUGUAUUUGUUGUGAAAAAUAGUUUUUUAUUCUUUAAAAUAAAAAUAAAAAUAGGAUAACACGUUUCAUAAUUAUAAAAUAAAAAAUGAAAACAUUUUUUUUAAUUAUUUUCACUUGUUUCUUGAAAACUGUUUUAAAAAAUAAUUAUAUAAAAAGAAGAAUGAUUAAAAACAACACAUGGGAAGCCGGCAUAUGCCCAGAAAAAGCAAGUAACCCCUGAAAAAUUAAAUUCUCACUAAAUUAAAAAAAAAAAACUUAAUGACUAAGGUGGUAUUUGUUUUUUUAUUUAAUUAUAAAUAGAACUUUAAUAUUUAAUAAUGUUAAAUAUUAGGUUGUUUGUUUUUAUAGUAUUUUAUUUCUAUUAAGUAUUAAAAAGUAAAAAAAAAAACUAAUAUAUUAUUUUUUUCUAUUUAGAAAAAAUUACAUAUUUUAGUUUUUUUAAUUUAGUAAAAAGUUUAUAAUAAAUUAGAAAAAGUAGAAAAACAAAUAAUCUAAAUUCUGAAAACAAAUUACUUUCAGUAAAAAACAAAAAAAACAAACACCACCUAAGUUAAUCAUACUUUUUUUAAUGUGACAUUGUCCCAUUUAAAAUCAAUUCAAAUUCUCAAAUAAAACUAUUUUUUAAAACAAUUAUCAAACAAGGCUUAGGUAUUAUAUAUGAUAAAUUUUUUAAAAAUCAAUUAUUCUAACUUCUAAGACAUGGAGCCAAAUAAGAGUGUAUCAUUCUUUUAAUGGAUGCACAUAAAUAGUAAUGGCGCCUAUAAUCUCGGAGAUUACACCUACUAAAUCUUAUCAUAAUUUGACUAUUACAUCAACAAAUUUGUCGAUUCGAAUUUCUAACAACAUGACACGUCACAAGUCUCGACACCGUCUACGUGCCCAUUUGACCCACCAAACCCUCCAAAUUCCAUAUCCUCAGCCAUCACCCCCCACAUUGAUUCCCCCUAACUUUUUAUUUAUUAUUUUUUUAAGUGCACAUAACUUCACAAACUACCCUCCACGUUCACUAAAGUCUAAAAGACACCCCAAUCAACACCACAACACCCCCCCUCUUUAUGCCUUUCAUUCUUUGACCUAACCAGAUGGCUCCAGAGGUAGAAGAAGAGUGAAAGAAACCCUAAUUUUCUUUUUCGCCUUUUUUUGCUUACGUGUCGCCAUUUGGAGGCUCCACCGCACAACUUUGUGUGUUUUCUCUUUCCUUGUUUUUGAAUAUGUUUCUGCCUAACCUCUUCGGAGGUGUCCACGUGUUAGCACGUGUCUUACACUCCAAGCCCUCCUUAGUACCGACGUGGUUUAACCCACGCGUGAAAAAAUGCCGCCACCACCACACACUCUCUCUCACCCAUUAAAAAGCGUGCUUUUUUAUUCUGGGCCUCCUGUGUUUUUUUGUUUUUUUCUUUCUAGAAGUUUUACUGUAAAUGGCACGUGGCGUCUUGGUGUGGUGAGUCACCGCAGUUUUUCGUGACGGUUCAUGCACCGAGUGGCGGAUAAGGUCGGCCGCAUGAUAACGUCGAACCUUGUGCACGUGGCGCGUUUUGAACGGUGAUUGAAACCUGAGGGUCCCACUCGACCCAGAUUGAGACAAGGACGACCGUACUUAUCUCUGCUGCUCUCCUCUAUAUAUAACGCCAUAUCUCACCACCCAAAAAAAAAAAAAGAAAAGAAAAUAGGAAAAAAAUAAAUUUUGAAUUUUCAGAUUCGCCCUCCAAUCUUCUUCUCUCGAGAAACGAUCAUCAUCAUCAUCAUCAUCGCCGGAAAUGGGUGUACCGGAGACUGACCCGCUUUCACAGCUUAGUUUGCCGCCUGGGUUCCGAUUUUAUCCCACCGAUGAGGAGCUUCUGGUGCAGUAUCUCUGCCGGAAAGUGGCCGGACAGGGGUUUUCAUUGGAGAUAAUUGGCGAAAUCGAUCUGUACAAGUUUGACCCAUGGGUUCUUCCCAGUGAGUAUUGAUUCGAAAACCUGCGUUUUCUGCUUCAAUUUGGAUUUGUUUCUGAUCAUUUAUUUACUUGUUCUGCAGGUAAAGCUAUAUUUGGAGAGAAAGAGUGGUACUUUUUCAGUCCCAGAGAUCGGAAGUACCCAAAUGGGUCCAGACCCAAUAGGGUUGCUGGGUCUGGGUAUUGGAAGGCCACCGGAACUGAUAAGGUGAUUACCACCGAGGGCCGGAAAGUUGGCAUCAAGAAAGCUCUGGUGUUUUACGUCGGCAAAGCUCCAAAAGGAACCAAAACUAAUUGGAUCAUGCAUGAGUACAGACUCCUAGAAAAUUCGAGGAAAAAUGGAAGCUCCAAGGUAGAUAUUAAAUAUUAUCAGUUAAACCAAAAACUUAAAUUUUUUCAGUACUAAACAAUAAUAUCAAGUACAAUUGACGCUUAACAAUCUCGUAUCUGGGUUUCUUGUUUUGAUGCAGUUGGAUGAUUGGGUUCUGUGCCGAAUUUACAAGAAGAAUUCCAACUCUUCGAAACCCAUAGCAGCUGUACUUCCCAGCAAAGCGCACAGCAACGGCUCGUCAUCGUCAUCGUCGUCCCACCUCGACGACGUCCUGGAGUCGCUGCCGGAGAUCGAUGACAGGUUCUUUUCUCCUAAUCGGAUGAAUUCUCUGAGAGUUUCACAGCCGGACGAGAAAGUCAACUUCCAUAACCUGGGCUCGGGCAACUUCGACUGGGCCACUCUAGCAGGCGUCUCCUCCUUGCAGGAGUUGGUCUCCGGCGUCCAAUCCCACGCCCAGCCUCCCGCAGCUGUCAACAACAGCAACGAAAUGUACGUUCCGUCACUGCCGCCGCUAAUCCAAGCCGAAGAAGAAGUCCAGAGCGGACUCAGAACCCAGAGAGUCGACCCAGUAAUGAACCAAGGGUUCUUCCCGCAGAACUCGAACGCGUUCAGUCAGAGUUUCUCUAACUCACUCGACCCGUUCGGGUUUCGGUACCCGACCCAACCUAGUGGAUUUGGAUAUAGGCAGUAAAAAAAAUGUAGAAAAAGAAAAGUCGGCGGAGAGCAGGAAAGGAGUGGCAAUUGUGUAAAUAGAUGGGAAUUCUUUGGGCUAACCUUUAGGCUUAGGAUUCCUAACAGGGAAAUCUGGGAUUUUUAAAUGUCGGCAGAGUGGAAAAGAAAGGGCUUUUCUUCUUGUGAUUUUAGGGCACAUAUUCAAUGUACACGUGACAAAGGUGAUGUACAUUUUUUUAUAUUUUCA
rnacentral:lncRNA from 1 species